UCUCCUUAUUGGUCAUCCUCAACAUCGCCUUGUCUGUUCCAACCCCACUUUCGAUCUCUUGGUGAAGUGUUUUUGCGGCGUCAAGGAGAGCUUUCACAAUCGCCCCAUGGCCUUCUCUCGCAGCAAGGUGAAGUGGAGUGUCGCCUUUCCGAUUGGGCUGCUGCAGUAGAGGUGAACAUGAAUGAAAGUGAAGGAUCCACUCAACGGAUGCCAGCUGACCGAACUGGGCUGCAAUGUGGAGGACAGUGUUCCUUUUUGGGGUUUGUUGGAGUUGAAGAUGAGCUUCUGAGUACUUUCUCUCGAGGAUUCUGAUAUCACUUUCAUACAAAGCCUCGUACAAAUCAGCAUUCAUGUGGGUGAUCUCAGUUUGGCCAUCAGCUGCAAUCUGGUUCGACAUCUUAGUUUGGCUUGAAAAGGUUUCCAAGUUAAGGUUCUGCGAUUCUGUAAUUUAGUUGGAGCUGGACUGAUUCACUAUUGGCGUUGGAGGAGCAAAGUAAUAAUCAACUCUUCAGAUUCUAAAUAUUUAUAUAAUUAGGAGUGAAUCACUACAAUUUUACUAAACCCAAAUUUAUUUUUAACUUUUUCUUAUUUUUCCUUUUUCCUUGCACUCCAUCCUAUUUAGCGAUUAUUUAAGCUGCUUUUACCACCAACAACAAUUCUGGUGGUUUAAAACAAUUUCAACCAUAUUAUCAGCCAUUUUAUGAGGUCAUCUUCCAAAAUAACACAAAAUAACAAUUCUGGUGGCAAUUUGUGCUCAUGGGUUGUGUUUGUAUUAUAUUAAAACUUACUCAACAUAAAUAAUAAUAGUGUUAAAAACAUAAAUCAAAAUAUUAUUUAUUUAUUAAAUAGAUAACACAUCAUGUAACCCAUUAAUUUCUUUAGUAAUUAAGUCUUUCUAUUUAAUAAUUAAAUUGAGUUAAGUAUUGUAUAUAUUUAUAUAAUUAAUUUUUCAAUCAAAUAUAUUUAUAACUUAAUUCAUCUGUUUAUUUAAAAACAAAUUAAUUUAAAAUAAGUUGAAGAUUAGUUAAAUAGUUUAAAGUUAUAAUUAAGUUAAUUAGUGAAAUUAUUAAAUCAAUCCAUUUGAAUCAAAUUUGUAUUAUACAUAUUGAUAUAAAAUCUAGAUAUCUAUAAAAUGUGUAAUACAGGCUAACAUAAAUUUGAUCCAAACUCAAUUAUACUCAAAUUUGUAAAAAGCAUGUUAAGUUUGAGUCGUGUUCACGUAUUGUAUCAAACUUUGUCAUUCCUACAAAAUACAAUGUUAAAGCCCAAACAAUUAAUAAUCACACAUGCUAAAGAGAGGAAAAUCUAAGGGUUAACCAUUUUCAUGAUUGCAAGAUAUUUUUUCUUGGGAAAAAAUGUGCUUCCAUACUCAUAUUUAAGAAUAUCACAAGAUGAAAAUCCAUUAAAAGUAAUUCAAGUUUUAGGCAAUCUAAAGUCAAAAUAGCAUUUAGGGUAGUCAAAGGCAUUACUAACAUUACUAAAAAUAGUAUCUAUUUGCUAAAAAAUAUGUAAAAUCUGAAUUAUUUUUAGAUAAAUGUAUUCAAUUUGAAAAUUUUAAAUUGGGGUUGUUAUUUGAUUUUUUUUCAAAUGUAUGUUUGAAAACACAAUUUAAUUUCCCUGUUUUUCUUUAUAAAGCAUAGUACCAAGGAUGACUGUUAGGCGCCACGAGAAGUUCAUGUUUUUUUUGUCUAUAGUCUAUUUAGUGAAUUUUUUCUUGUUUCUUUUUCUUUUUGUGGGGACGGAGUGUAGUAUUUUUCUAUUAUUAAAUUUUCUCUCUUUUUCUUUCCCUUUUGGUGGGGGAUGAAAUAUAAUAUUUUUCUCUCUUUUAAUUAUUCCUUUUCCUUCCCUUUUGGUGGGGGAUGAGAUAUAAUAUUUGUUCAUUAUUAAAUUUUUUUUCUUUUUCUUUUAUUGGGACAAGUGGAAUAUUUGGUUGUUAGAAUUUUCUCUUUUAAUUAUUCUUUUUCAUUCUCUUUUGGUGGGGGACGAAGCUUAAUAUUUGUACAUUAUUAAAUUAUUAUUAUUAUUUUUUUAAGGACAAAUGGAAUAUUUGUUUGUUAGAAUUUUCUCUUUUAAUUAUUCUUUUUCUUUCACUUUUGGUGGGGAUGAAGAAUAAUAUUUUUUGAAUUUUUUCUUUUUCUUUUUUUUUCUUAGGGACGAAGUGAAAUAUUUGUUUAUUAUUAAAGUUUCUCUUUUAAUUUUUCUUUUUCUUUCACCUCUUUCAAUUUUUCUUUUUCUUUUUCUUUUUGUAGGGGAUGAAGCGUAAUAUUUGUCUAUUACUAAAUUUACUCUUUUUCUUUCUCUUUUUUUGUGAACGAAAUGGAAUAUUUGUCGGUUUUUGAAUUUUCUCUGUUAAUUAUUAUUUUUUGUUUUCUUUUUGUGGGGGCUGAAAAAGAUCAAGAUAUGGAGGAUUUUGGAGGAGAGGGAGUGAAACUCCAUCAGCAGUGAGAAUGGAGGAUCGGAUUAUAGGGAUACGUGAAGGUUCUUGGUCUUAUCUUGCUGGUACCAUUGGUAGAGUUCCUGAGAAAGUGAUAGGAACAGCAACACCAAAAGAACCCCCAGACCAUCAAAUAUCCGCCUGGUGUUUUUCCAUUGGAGAUGAACUGAUUAUACAUUGGGAAUUAUCAUCAUCAAAUGCAGCACCACCGGCACCAGCAAAUGAAGUCUCUUUGCACCCCGGGCCCACUUCUGCACCCAUGCAUGGCCACCUUUGGCAUGCAAUCCCAACGGCCACAUGUCAUCCUCCCAUUUCUUCAUCUUUUGCUUUCAAAAUUUGAUUUUCAAAACUCUAGUUUUUAAAUAAUUUUAAAAAAUUCAACUUUCAAAUAAUCUUAAUCAAGUACCCUUUUAUAUUUAUUUUAUUUUAUUAUUAUUUUUAUUUAUUUAUUUAUUUCCUUAGAAAUUUCAAGUCAUUCCAAAAACCCAAUUUUAAUAAACUUUUUGCUGUCAUAUUUCUCUUCCGGUAUACAUUUUCAUAUUUUCUUCAAAUUUCAAUUUUUUUUAUUGAUUUUCCUCAAUUUUUAAUAAAGCAUGAAUAAAUUCUAUAAUUUCAAGCAAUAGAAUUUAUGGAGUUAAUUCAUGCUAAAAUAAAUCGGGUUGGUGGGGCCUGACAUCUGUAAUUGAUUGCUUGAUUGACUUUGCCCUACUCUGACAUGCAUGAGAUUAUUUAGUAUUUGUGCACUAACCUUGUAUCCUAUGAUAGCACUCAACUUGCGACUAAGAUACGCCUUGUACCCGAUCAUAUUUAUUUAUUUAUCCAUUAUCAUGCAUGACUUGUUUUAUUAUUUGAUUAUUAUUUGGUAUCCACGAUUUCCUGAUCAAUUGUCAUGUUACCCUAACUGAUUAGUAGAGACUCUUUUUUAGGGGUUUAGAGUGGUGUACGCCUUUAUCACCGUACCUUCUCGAUAUAUAACCUAACUCCAGAUCCAAACUUGGUUUUUCGCAAACUUGUAUGUCCUUUAGGAGUCACAUUUGAAUUUUUUUUUUUUUUCUUAUUUUGUUCUUCCCUUUAAAAAUAAAACAAAAAUAAGAGGUCACUCCAAUUUUUAUUUAAAAAAAAAAAAUCAAAUUUCUAAUAAAAAUUGAGUCUCGCCAGUUGAGUGGGAACGCAUGCGAGAAAGAUGGGGUCCACACAAUUAUUAAAAAAUUAUCCAAAAAAAGUUUGAUCCCUUUGUUAUUAUUAAGUUUGUUUUUUUUUUUUCAUAUUUUUUAUAAUAAAAAACUAAAAUUAUCAAACAUAUUUUUAAGAAUUUAAAAACAUAAUUGAAAACUUAUUUAUUAUUUCUACCCUUAAAAACUCUAAAAACAAAAAUAUAGCUAACAGCCAUCUAACCUAUCAUGUUCUUCUCCUUUUCUUUUCUUUUCUUUUUUCCUUUUUUUUUUCUCCAAUUUCCAUGUAGAAUGGACAAAUAAUUUUCAGAAGGAAAAUAUAGAAUAUGAUACUGUGGUAUAAAAAGCAACCUAUUUUUAGGUUUAGUAUUAAUCAAGUGAGAAAAAAAAAAAGAAGAAAUUUAAAAUUUCUUAUUUCAUUUAAUAUUACAACAAAAAAAAAGUGGCAUUUGUGUGUGUUAAAGCACUACCAAUCUUGUCAUUACACUAUAAUUAUUUUUUAUUUUCUUUCAACUUACAUCUAUAUUUAAAGAUAUUUUAUGUAACUUAUGUUUACAUUUAAGGAUAUCUCAUAUAUAAUAUUAGCGUAAGGAAAAGUUGUCUAGCUUGAUCCUGAUCCUUAUCUUAUUGGGAUCCCAAAAUUUGAUUUGAUCUCCAAUUACAAUUAUAGAACAAUAACACCAUGGUAGCUGCUGUAUUCCUUUGCUACACAGAAUAGAAGCUUCUCUACAACACUACCCAUUUUCUCUAGCUAAAUUCAUUUUAUUAAACAUUUUUAUAAAUAAAAUAACAUUUCUGACAUUCCAUAAUUUCUACGUUCUUGAGCCAAAUUUAGGAAUGAAUCAUUCUUGGACAACCUCGAUCCCGUGGGGUUUGGUUUUGGAAGCCAAAAGUCCUAUCUCUGUUGCCCUUUAGGGCUCUUGUAUAUUUAGUGUCUCAAAAUUUUGUCACUUUGAUAAACUACAGUAAUUUUUAUCUUAUCAACUUAUGAACUCGGACCAAUAGAGAGCUAGAGCCACUUUGCAUAUAUCAAUAAAUAAAAAAAGUUAAAUAGUCAAAUUUGUACAUCUAGUUAUUAAUUAAAAUUAAAAUAAUAAUCAUUUUUUGACUAAAAUAAUAAGAGAAUAAAACAAGUGUGAGUAAGUCAUUAAAAAAAUUAUAAUCAAUUUCUUCAACUCAAAGCAAAUUAAUAAAUAAACCCAACAACAGGGGACAAACAAAUUGGUGGUGUUCCCAAAGCCUCCAUAUUUCAAUGGUGGGAGAGUUUUUCUAGCUUUGACUUCACUUUUCAAACUUGUAACUUCUUUAUUGAUGAUAUGGAGGUACUGGUGGGAGUAAUUAAAAUUAUUUAUUUAUUUUUUUAGGGGUAAUUAUGUUUUGGAUCUAGUUGAGUCCAAAAAUUAAGUUUUAGUCCAUAUAAAUUCACCAUUUAAAUCGAAGAUCUAGAUAAAGUGUGAAAAUUGAGAAGAAUGAUAUAAAUUUUUUAUCUUUCCAAAAAUGAUCUUUAUUGACUAUGAAAAAAAAGAGAGUAAAAAAACAUUAAUUUAAAUUUUAUUCCUUUUGCAAACCUCAAUAAAAUUUAAUUUAAUUUAGUGAUUUGAAAAAAAAAAACCAUUUUCCAAAAAAAUAAAAAUAAAUUAUUAUUAUUAUUAUUUAAAAACCAAACAUCUUGGAAAAUAUAUAUUUUUCAAAUUGUGUAUAUAAAAAAUAACUAAAAAUAUGUCAAAUUUAUUUUUUUUAAAUUAUAUAUUUUUAGAAUAUAUAUAUAUAUAUAUUAAAUUAGUUUUCUAAAAAUAAUAAAUUUUCAAAAUAAUUAUUAAAAAAAAUUUAAGAUCAAAAAUUUGUCACACAUUAUGAUAGAAAAUAUUCAAAAUAGUUUUGAAGGGUAUAUUGGUCUCUUUAUAUUUUAUAUCAUUCCCCUCAAUUAUACAAUUUUUAUAGGCUAAAUUUUAAUUUUUGGGUCCAGAUCCAAAACACAAUUGUGCUGCUUUUAGCUAGGGUGGACCAAUUUAACUACUAUAUAUUUUUUAGAAAAGAGCAAGCAUCUCUUGUUUUUAACCUAUAUGUCAACGGUAUGGUCCAUUAUCUAUGUUCAAUGAAAACAUGGUAGUGGACGUGACCACCUUGCCAUGGUGGUGGUUGAAGCAGUAGAGCUGGUGGAAGCUUAAAGAAGAAGAAACCAGCUGGGGAAAAUGAGGGCAGAGAGAGGCCGUUGGCGGAAAAGAAAAAAGGAGGUUUGGAUGAGAGGUUUUCAAGGACAACUAUGUAGUAGUCUGGGGGGUGGUACCAACAUAUUUUGAGAGCAAGGAAGAAAAGAGUUGCAAAAAAGGAAAAACAAAGUUGCAAAAACAAGGGAGGAGGGUGAUUGAUUGGUUUUUUGGAGGAGAAAGGAUAGCUGGAAGCCGAUAUUCCACAAGUCCGGAGAGGAGUCUUCCAAAGAUAAUCCCAAAAGAAACAGCCCUCCAAGCCCUCAACACCAUCAUCCAGCUCCACUUCAAGAAGACCUUGGAGAAGAAAAGAGCUAUCGACCUCCAAAAGAAGGAGCAUUGGAAGCUCUUUCAGCUCUUCUUCAUCUUCCUCUCUCUCGUCUUCCUCGAUCAGACCUAGUCCCUACACUUCUAGUGUCGCCACUACUGGGUCCCAAUCACUCUCCUCUCCUUAGCCCACCUCAUCUUCUAUGUCUUUGUCGUUCAUACCCUUCCUCCGCUGCAUCAAUGGCUUCAAGUACCAGCGCCGUUGUUGUUGAGGCCUCGCGUCCCUGGUGAUCCACGUAGUUGCCAAAUGGAUGGGCGCACGAUCUCAACCAAUAUAGAUUCUUGAUUCAGUCGUUCUACCUGCAAAAGGCGUCCGGACGGGGUGUCCGGACGCACCCUCCGAUGGUUUUGUCAGCCAUGGUUAGAGAUAGAGAUAAAUCAGUUGGCCUUUUACUAGGUAUAUCCAGCUUACCUUCCCCUUUGUGUGAAGGUUUGUAUAUAUAGUUUCAGAAGCUUUGUUCCCCUCUUUAAUGGUGGGGAGAUAUUCUGUGUUGUCAUGAUGACAUUAGGUGGUGGCAGGGCCAUCAUCACCCUACAGGCGGCUGAUAGAGAUCGUGGUAGGUGAUGCGGCUGUCAGAGAUCGUGGUAGGUGAUGCGGCUGUCAGAGAUCGUGGUAGGUGAUCGUGGGAAGUGACUUGUUGUCACUUCAUCUUGUCAUUUCACUCUGCAGGUGGCGGAACGUGGGCCAUGGCAGGCUGUUGUGAUAACGUGCAAGACUUGCUUACUUCAGUCAAUGAUCUGGGCAAACGUAUCCGGAUGGCCUAUGUUAGUCGUCCGGAUGUUAUGUUUAUGAGUGUCGUGUGCCUCUCCUUGAGGUAGUCCGGAUAGGAGAAGCGCGCCACGUGCAUUCUUAGGGAAAUCCGGAUGAGGAUGAUCCGGAUGAUAAUGCGUGCCACGUGUCGCCAUGAGGUGUGUGGCAUGUGUUUUCAGGAGGAGGGGUCCCUACAAUGCCCCCCUUUUUAACUUGCCUAUUUUGCCUGAGCAAAAAAUGGGCGGGUUAAAAAUAAUUGGUUUUCGAAAUUGUGGCUACUUUUUGCGCUUAUUGGGCCACGUGUCGAGCGGGGAUGAAGAGAGAGAGAAGUAUUUAUGAUGAGCCGUCGUCUCUGUGUAUUCCCAGGCAACAUGUCGUUUCAAUGAUAGCGUAGCUGAUCGUUUGGUAUACCGAGGGGCUGUCCCCCUAUAAAUAGCAUACUAUGCCUUCUGUUGCAUUUUUCCUACUGCGUUUUUUCCUGAGAGUGUUUCUUCUUCUACCUUCUGUGUUUCUCUCUUGUUUUCUGAGUGAAGCCCUAGAGUUUCCUACCGGUGAUUUUUGCGUCUUGUCGGUGACUGUAUUGCGGAUUUCGACCCUAUUAUUCCAGAUCUACACUUGGUACGUGCAUUGUUUUUGUUUUUGUUUUUGUUUUUUUUUUUUUUUUGCGUUUUUUUGUUGGUUUGUUUCUGGUUUCUAGGGUUUUGUUGAGGGUGUUUUGACUGUUGGUACCUCUUUCAUGCAGUUUCCAUUUCAGUUUCAGGCUAGAAAAUGUCUGCAAACAAGAAAGUUGUUUCGUCUGGCCCGAUCGGUGAUGCUCCUGAGAAAUCUGUAGAUAAAAUGAGUGUAAAGGAGUUUCGGGAACGUUUCUGCAUCCCAAAUGGCGUGCUUGUGGAAUUUCUGGACGAGGAGGAGGUCGUAUCUACUGAGAAAGCUGAAGGUCGUGCCAUCACCUUCUCAAAGGAGCAAUUCAAUGCCGGGCUUCGGUUCCUUCUCCCAGUGCUGUUCAAAGAAUUCCUUCAUUUUACCCAGAUCCCACCAGCCUUCAUUCACCCCAAUACAGUCCGGGUGCUGAUGGGAUGCAACAUUCUAAACAUGCCGUUCAACCUUGAUCUCUCGCUGCUGGAGGUUCUUUUUGUUUACUCCCUGAAGAAGGGAAAAAAUGAUAUCUUUAGUAUGGCUGCCUAUCUGCCCUCGCUUCAAUUGGUGACUGAGCUGCCGGAUUCGACGAAAGGAGGGAUGAAGGGGUAUGUGGUGGUCCGGGGUGCUUGGGCGGGGCUAUUGGAGCAUCCGGAGAGGCCUUUUUCUCCAAACUACUCAUUGGUGCUUUCGGGUGAGUCAACUUUACGGGUUUUGUCCGGCACUUAUCUUGUUGUCCUUCUUGCUGGUUUUAUCAGAUGGCAUAAUUAUCUUUGAUUUGUUGAUAAUGCAGGUUCGGACAAAGAGGGGCCACGUAGUUGAGUGGGUAGAGAAAGCGUCGUUUGUUCGAUUGAACAAGUUGUUCGAGAUUACUGUCGCCGAGAGGCAGUAUGUGACGCUGCUUACCGCGCGGAACCUGAUGGCUGUUGUCCGGGAGUCUUGUGAGUAUAUCAUCAAUAUUCUCCCCAGGAAGCUGCCAAAGAAGGUAGUGCCUGGGGAGCAUUAUAUUCUGAAAGACCUCCCUUUCUACAAGGAGGUGCAACAGGCGAACGCUGAGAAAUGCCGAGCGCUCCUUGUCGAUCGGGAGAGAAGGAAGAAGGAGGGGACCUUGUGGAAGGCUCCGGCGAAAAAACGGUCUGCGUCCUCUCCUCCUGCUAGAGCUCCAACAAAGAAGAAAAAGAAGACUUCAAAUAAGGGGAAGGAAGUGAAACUCCCCACUCCUCCAAAGGAGUUCGUGAUCCCUCCUAUUACUUAUGAGAAGGAGGUAACAAUAAAGGAGCCGGAGAAUCCCCUUCCGCCCUCUAUUUCGAGUGGCCCCGGACAUGUCGAGGGUUUAAACCAUUCGGGGCCCUCUUUGUCAGCUGCCGCCCGCUUGGCUAUUUUGGCCGAAGAAGCUGCGUCAAUAAAUACACCCGGCUCUCCCCAUCCGGAUGUGGAUGCAGGCGAGGCCGUUUGUGCAGAUGCGUCACCUCUUAUGGCGACCCCAAUGGAGGAAAUGAGGGCAGAAAGCCAGAGUCUGCCUUUAGUCGGGCCAAGCCUUCCUGCCCUUCUACCAGUGAAGGGGUCAGCUUCAAGGAGGUCGAGUUCGGCGCGAAACCUAAAGUCCGGCCUCAUCGGGCGGCUUCAAGAUCGAUUCCAGGAAACCAUCGAAGUCAGCUGCUCGUCCGUCCAGGAUGACCAUCCGGAGGGGAGCGAGACGGAGAUGGCAACUGAGACCCCAGCCGUCCCGAUGGUGGUCCCGGAUGAGGGUACGGCCGGAGAGACCCAUCCGGUUGUAAAUGAGGGGGCCCCGGAUCCGGAGGAGGAGUUAUUCUCUAACGCCUCAUCAGGGGGGGAUCUUGUUGAUGAUGCGGCUUGCAUCUCUGCUAGCCCUUUUAGCUAUGCGGAGUUGGAAAAGAAGCUGAAACAGAUUCCACCCGGCUCGACCACUGCCAUGCCUUCAGCAAAGAUGUUCGAAGUGGUGGAAACGGUAUAGUGUAUUUCUUGAUUGUCUUUUGCCAUAUUGAUGUGUUUAUGGUAUGGUGUGUAACUCUGUUUUUCUUGUUUGUGUGUUUGCCUGUAGCUGGUGAGUGGUCUUCGCGGCAUGGUCCAGCAACAUGACCUAUUCACUGACCUGCUGCGGACCGCUGAUUACAUGAAGGCUUUUGCCUCUCAGCGUAAAAACAGUGAAAAUUAGCUGCGCUUGAGAUUGGAAGAAGCCGAAGCCAGUUUAUCCACUGCAUGGGGAGACAACGAGGCUUUCCGGGCGGAUCUAGCUGAGGCAAGGAGCCGGGAGGAGUCGAUGGAUGCCCGCUUGCAUGAGGCGGAGGAUGAGGUGGCUCUCCUGAGGGAGGAGGUGAGGCAACUCCGGACGGAGGUAUCCAUUGAGAAGAAACAAAAGGAAGAUUUGUAGCUGCGUUUAUCAGCGCAAAAAGAAGAGCUAGAGGGUAAGUUUGCUGCAGAGAGGGAGGAGCUUGAAGCGGACUAUCAGAGGCAAGUUGAUGAUAUGUUCUUCUUCGGCUAUCGCUGCUGUAUGAAGAAACAUGGCAUUAAGCGAGAUGUCCCUUCAAUUCCUCCGGGUGAAGAGAAGAAGCUCCUUGACAAGCCUGCUCCCUGAUAGCUUUUCUUUUUGUAAUCUUUUGCUGCUAUCUUCUUUCUGUAUUUUUGUAGUCUGGAGGACCCUUUGUACGCAACUUCAUAAAUAUCAAUAAAACAUACAUUUUGACAUUUUGUACUUGUCUUUUUAUUGAUAAUACUGUUUUAAAUUCGACACAUUCCAUGGUCUGAGUAAUGGAGUUCUGUCUAGCUUUUGUAGGUGAUAAGCUCCACUUUCACUUGACUUAGACACUAUAUAGGGUCCUUCCCAGUUGGCUUGAAAUUUCCCUGCUCCUGUUUCGGCAAUAUUUUCAAAAACUUUUCUAAGGACCAGCGUACCAUUUUUGAAGCUUCUGGGCCUUACUUUGCGAUUGUAAUGAGCGGAUGCCCUUUGCUGAUAGUCUGCCAUCCGGAUGGCUGCGCUUUCCCUUACUUCAUCUGCCCAGUCCAAGUUUCUUCCUAACUCCGCGUUUGCAUCAUCCUGCUUUGCUGCCUCAGUCCGGAUAGUGGGUAACCCUAUCUCGGUAGGAAUGACGGCGUCCAUUCCAUAUGCGAGGGCGAAUGGAGUGUUUCCUAUUGGCCGCCCGAGUAUGGUUCGAUAGGCCCACAGGACGCCGGGUAACUCUUCCACCCACUUUCCUUUGGCUUGCUCAAGCCUUUUCUUUAAGGCAGUGAUUAGCGUUUUGUUUGUGGCUUCUGCUUGCCUGUUACUUUGAGGAUAACGUGGUGUGGAGUAUGAAUUUCGGAUGUUUAGUUCUGAACAGAAAUUCCGGAAUGCGAUGCUAUCAAAUUGUGGACCGUUGUCGGCUAUAAUGUUUUGAGGGAUUCCAAAGCGGCAGAUGAUGUUUUUCCAUACGAAUUUGGUGACAUCUUUGUCUUUGAUGCUUGCAUAUGCUUCAGCUUCCACCCACUUACUGAAGUAAUCCGUGGUGACAAGUAGGAAUUUUUUCUGGGCAGGUGCGGCCGGGAGGGGUCCCACUAUGUCCAUGCCCCAUUGUGCGAAAGGCCAUGGGCCUGAGAUUGGCUUCAAUGUUUCUGAUGGCAUAUGUGGGAUGGGAGCAUGCCUUUGACAUUUAUCACAUUUUUUGACAUAGGUCGUUGCAUCUUUCUUCAUUGUAGGCCAGUAAUAUCCUUGCGAAUGGGCCCUAUGCACUAGAGAUCGUCCUCCAGAAUGAUUUCCACAUACUCCCUCGUGCAACUUAGCUAAAACGUACAGGGCCUCUGAGUGGUUUAGACACCUAAGGUAGGGACCUGUGAAGGAUCGCUUGUACAGGUGCCCCCCAAUCAGGGUAAAACGGGCGGCUUGUACCCGGAUCUUGUGUGCCUUUUUGGCGUCCUCGGUCAGAGUGCCUGUCCGGAGGUAUUUUACAAUGUCGCUCGUCCAUUCUUGGCCGUCCGGUUGGCUUGCCUCAAUGGCGUUGCAAGUGGUGGUUUUCGCCACAGAAGAGUUGGCUUGCACAUGUAUAGGCAAAAAUAUGGUUUCUUUGAUUGGAAGGGAGGCAGCUAUGCUUGCCAAGGCGUCGGCGCGUCCAUUUUCGGUUUGUCUGAUUUUUUCGAUCGUCCAUUCGGAGAAUUGUUGUAAAGUGUUUCGUACCUUAGCCAGGUAUUGCGCCAUGCGCUCAUCCUUAGCUUCAUAUUCCUUCUAGACGUGUCUAACCACAAGUUAAGAAUCGCUAUAGACACGGAUUUUGGAGACGGAUAGAGCCAGGGCGAGGUCCAAUCCGGAUAGAAUGGCCUCAUAUUCUGCUUCAUUGUUAGAUGCAGGGAAUCCCAGCCGGAUGGCUUGCUCCAGGUGUUCCCCUGUUGGGGAUUGUAGCAGAAGCCCGACUCCGGACCCUGAUGAUCGUGAGACUCCAUCAACUUGCAAAGUCCACCAUUCGUUUUUACUUUGUUCCUGGCGUUGGCUAGGCCUUCGGGAGUAUUCCAGCACAAAGUUAGCCAUUACUUGGCCUUUCAUGGACAAUCUGGGUUGGAACUCGAUUCCAAAUUCGCUUAAUUCGAUAGCCCAUUGAAGCAUUCUCCAGGUUAAGUCUGGUUUGUGCAGAAUGUUGCGAAGGGGUUGGUCGGUCAGCACGACCACCGGAUGGGCUUGGAAAUAGGGGCGGAGCUUUUGGGCAGCGCUUCGAAGGGUUAAGGCUGUUAGCUCCAUUUUUUAAUACCUGGUUUCUAUGUCCGCCAAUGCUCUGCUGACGUAGUAGAUAGGCUUCUGCUCCUUAGGUGAGGGGCAACGAAAUAGAACAACGUUGAUUGCCCACUCCGAUACGGCCAGAUACAUGUAUAAUUUUUCUUUUGGGAUGGGGUUGUUCAGGAUGGGCAGCUGCAUAAGACAAUGUUUAAUCUUUUCAAAAGCGGUUUGACAGUUGUCCGUCCAUCCGUUUGUUCCAACUUUUCGUAUUGCCAAGAAGAAGGGUUGCAAUUCAUCAAUGAAGCGGGCUAUAAAACGCCCUAGUGCGACGAGCUUGCCUGUGAGUCGUUGUAACUCCUUCUUGGUCCUAGGUGGUGGUGUUUCUAUGACUGCCUUGACUUGAUCCGGACUGACCUCUAUGCCUCUUUGGCUGACCAUAAACCCCAAGAAUUUGCCAGCGCUUAUGCCAAAGGCGCAUUUAGAAUGAUUCAGCUUCAUGCCAUAUUUCCUCAAGAGGUGAAAAACUUCUUGUAAGUGAAGGACAUGCUCGUCUCGGGUUUUGCUUUUAACCACUAUAUCGUCAAUAUAUACCUCUACCGUGUGGCCUAUCAAAGGUUUGAAGAUCUUUGUCAUCAGUCUUUGAUAAGUGGCGCCAGCGUUUUUGAGCACGAAUGGCAUGACUCUGUAGCAAUAAAGGUCAUGUGGCGUUAUGAAUGCUGUUUUUUCCUCGUCAACCGAGGACAUGGGGAUCUGAUGAUAUCCGGAGAAGGCAUUCAAGAAAGAGAGCAUCCCUUGCCCAGCAGUAGAAUCCACGAUUUGAUCUAUUCGUGGCAAAGGGAAACUGUCUUUUAGACAUGCUUUAUUGAGAUUGGUGUAAUCGACGCAUACCAGCCAUUUUCCUUCUUUUUUGGGUACCACCACUACGUUUGCCAACCAGUCCGGAUAAUCUACUUCUUUGAUGAAUCCGGCUUCUAGCAAUUUGUCAAUCUUAAUCCGGAUGAUUUUUUGUCUGUCCGAGUGGAAACGUCUAACCUUCUACCGGAUGGGUCUGGUUGUUGGCAAGACGUUAAGUUUAUGGGAGGUAAUUGAGGGAUCAAUUCCCCUCAUAUCAUAAUGUGUCCAUGCGAAGAUGUCAUAGUUUUGUCUGAGGGCGUUCUACAUGUUCUGGGUCUCUUCUGGCGUCAUGAGGGAACUGAUGUUCGUGAGGUGAGUACUUUCCUCUGAAAUUUGGAUUGCUUGUAAGGGAUCUGCUGUCGGGGGAUCUUUGUCCACCGGAUCCAAUAAUUGCUAUUGGUCACGUGGAUUGCUGGGCUCAGGGAGGGAUGCAUCCUCCUGGCUGGUCCCUGCUUCUCGUGCUAUCUGGUAGUAUUGGCGAGCAGCUAACUGGCUGCCAUAUAAGUCAAUUUGCCCAUCGUUGGUGAGGAAACUCACCAUUUGAUGAUAUGUAGAGGGGAUGGCUUUCAUGUAGUGUAGCCAUGUGCGCCCCAAGAUGAUAUUGAAGGGUGAUAACUCUUGUACCACCGAGAAUUGUACGUUGAAAGUAACUGGGCCAGUUUGGACCGAUAGUACAAUGUCUCCCAAAGACGUAGUUGAUGACCCGUUGAAUCCGGAUAGGAUUCGUUCAGGGUUUUCGAGGACUGUGAGACUGUGUCCCAUGUAGUUAACGACCGAUGCUUAUACAAGACCGACCGAGCUGCCUGGGUCAACCAAGAUGCGUCUCACAUCGAAGUCUCCUAUCUCUAGGGACAAGAUGAGGGCCUCGCGAUGUGGCUGCAGUGUCCGGGUGGGGUCUACUGGUGGGAAAAUGAUUGUCCCAUCUAUGGGGCGAGGGCCCCCUCCAGUUAAUCCAGGCCGGAUGGAGUUGAUACGUUCGCGUACUGACGCGGCCCGCAACAAUUUCUGUCUCUUUCGUUUGGAGUCAUAUUCUUCGUCAGAUGGGCCUCCGUUAAUGUAGUUUAUAACGGCCUUGGUGGCGGCUGGGGCUCUGGGGGCUCCAGAGUUGUGAUUUUGGGAAGCGUCUCUUCCUCCAGCAUCUGAGCGGAGGUAUUGCUUUAAAUGUCCCGCCUUAAUGAGCUUUUCGACCAAAUAAUGGAGGCACCUGCAUGUCUCUGUUGUGUGAUCGUGUUCCUUGUGGAAGGCACACCUCUUGCUAUGAUAUCUUUUGGAUGGGUCCGUUCCUUGGGGUCUGGGCCACCUGAAAUCAGAUAAGCCUUGGAUCAUAGGGAGAAGUUUUUCAUAUGAUAUGGAAAAAGGCGUGAGAGGCGGCCUAUCCGGGCGACUCGGCCCUUCCUGCCUUCGAUCGGACGACCUUGGCCAGUCCGGAGGUUUAGCAUUUCUUUCCGUGCCACCUCUAGAUGCCUGUCCGGCAACCAAGACUUGCUGGGUGGCUGCCCGUACGUCAUCUUCGAGCAUCGAAUAUUUGUUGGCACGUCUGAACAAGUCGUCCAUCUAUGAGGUUUUUUGGCUAGCGAUUCGAAAAAUGGGGUGCCUGGACAGAUGCUUCGCUUGAAGAUCUGCAGGACAGCAUCCAUGUUGCAAGCCUCUACCUGAAGUACGGCUUGACCAAAUCGCUUCACGAACUCCCUUAAGGAUUCGUUAUCCUGCAUUUUUAUGUUUUGCAGAGUGCUAAUGUUCUGUUUGUGUCGGGCGGAGCACAAGUAUUGUCCCACGAAAGCUUCGGACAGGUCCCUGAAAUUGCCAACAGAGUCGGGAGGUAGACGAUGAAACCAUGAAAGGGCCUGUCCUUGUAAGCUGGCGGGGAAUACUUUGCAUAGCAGCGCAUCGUUGCCAAUAUCGAGUGUCAUGAGCUGUCGAUAAUGCAUGAUAUGAUCGAAGGGGUCGUUGGACCCAUCGUAUGUGGAGAAUUUUGGUACGAGGAAUCCCCUUGGGGGCUCGUAAUGAAUGAUAUGAGAGCAGAAGGGCGUGGAGAGCAUGUCGUCCAGCCUUUUGCUGAUAGAGCCCAUGGGUGACUCGUUUGGGAGGUUUCUCCCAGCUUGUUGUACCGCUAGGUGCGAGUGAACGUUCCGCACCAUGGUGGUGACCAUAGGGUCAUGGUGCGGGAGCACGUUCUGCACCAUGGGGGUGACCACAGGGUCAGGGCGUGCUGCCUAGGUUGUGGCUGCUGGUGGCCUUGGUCUCACAGGCUCUUGUGGGCCUAGUCUUGCGCGCAUUGAAUUUGACAACUGAGACUUUCUAUUACGUUGUCUUUUUGCUGAAAAAUGAGUAGAAUCCGAGCUUUCUUCACGGGGAGCUCGAGGCAUAGCCGUAUGUGGCUCAUGGGGCCUCACGUUGCAUGCUUCUGGGAUAGCUCCUGCUGUUCCAGGAUAUAUUGAUUCUAGUUCUGGCCUUGAGUUUGCUACUUGGCCUCUCGAAUGCUGACGACGAGGAGGCCCUGAUGUUGAAGCCUGGAUGCGUAAUAUCGCGUUUUCUUCUCUUAAUCUUUCUGUCUCCUGGAGGAGAGCUUUCAGUUGUCGUUCGCUUGCCAACUGUCUUCUUUCGAUGGCUUGAUGCCAUUCAGAAUUAUCUUCCUCUCCCUUACCAGAUGAACGACUUUGGGAAGGUGUGGCCAUAUUUGGUAGUGACUGAAUCAGUGAAAAAUUUCCCACAGACGGCGCCAAUGUUGAGGCCUCGCGUCCCUGGUGGUCCACGUAGUUGCCAAAUGGAUGGGCGCACAAUCUCAACCAAUAUAGAUUCUUGAUUCAGUCGUUCUACCUGCAAAAGGCGUCCGGACGGGGUGUCCGGACGCACCCUCCGAUGGUUUUGUCAGCCAUGGUUAGAGAUAGAGAUAAAUCAGUUGGCCUUUUACUAGGUAUAACCAGCUUACCUUCCCCUUUGUGUGAAGGUUUGUAUAUAUAGUUUCAGAAGCUUUGUUCCCCUCUUUAAUGGUGGGGAGAUAUUUUGUGUUGUCAUGAUGACACUAGGUGGUGGCAGGGCCAUCAUCACCCUACAGGCGGCUGACAGAGAUCGUGGUAGGUGAUCGUGGGAAGUGACUUGUUGUCAUUUCAUCUUGUCAUUUCACUCUGCAGGUGGCAGAACGUGGGCCAUGGCAGGCUGUUGUGAUAACUUGCAAGACUUGCUUACUUCAGUCAAUGAUCUGGGCAAACGUAUCCGGAUGGCCUAUGUUAGUCGUCCGGAUGCAUUUGUGGAAGUCGUCCGGAUGUUAUGUUUAUGAGUGUCGUGUGCCUCUCCUUGAGGUAGUCCGGAUAGGAGAAGCGCGCCACGUGCAUUCUUAGGGAAAUUCGGAUGAGGAUGAUCCGGAUGAUAAUGCGUGCCACGUGUCGCCAUGAGGUGUGUGGCAUGUGUUUUCAGGAGGAGGGGUCCCUACAGUUGCCACAAGCUCACUCUUAGCCUCUCCACUAAGCACCUCUGGUAGAUCAAGAUGAGGGCCAGUAGUGGAGGAUGAGGAGAUUGAAAAGCUUCUGGAGCCCUUCUCAAAAGAGCAACCGUUGGCUUUGUUUCAGGAGGCAAUGGAAAAGUACCCGGACUUCGUUAAUAGCAUCUAGAGACUCGCCAACGUCGACCCGGCUCACCGAAAAAUCUUCGUCCACGGCAUGGGAUGGGAUACACCUUUAUUCUGUUCAAGCACCGAAACGACGCUCACAAGGCACUGAAGCAGCCAUAAAAGAAGAUUGGAAAUCGAAUGACCUCAUGCUAGCUAGCCUCUACCGGCCUCGUUCGAACGCCGCCACCGGUGGUAUCUCCGGUGCCUGAGUAUACUCAAAGAAAGUUUUUUUUUUUUUUUGUGAGCAAUGUUUCUGCAGAGAUCGAUUCUCAGAAGCUACUAGAGUUCUUUGCAAAGUUUGUGGAAUUUUUUUAGGGUCACACAUUGCAUUGCUAGAAGGCAAUUGAUGGGCCAAGCCAAAAAAGCCUUUCCACCAUCACCACCAACAAAACCUACACCACUUUUCAUCCUUUUUUAUUCUUUAUAUUUUGAUAUCAAAGUUUCAAUUUUCAAAACUCAAAUUCUCAACUAAUUCUCCAAAAUUUCUAUUUUCAAAUAAUUUUCCAAAAUUCCAAUUUUCAAAUUUAAUUAUCGAAACUCCGUUUUCAAAUAAUUUUCAAAUUUAAUUUUUAAAAAUUUCAUUCUCAAAUAAUUCUUCAAAAUUCCAAUUUUCAAAACUUCAAUUUUCAAAUAAUUUUCCAAAAUUCUCAUUUUCAAAUUUAAUUUUCAAAAGUUCCAUUUUCAAAUACUUUUCCAAAUUUCCAAUUUUCAAAUUUAAUUUUCAAAACUCUCAUUUUCAAAUAAUUUUUCAAAAUUCCAAAUUUCAAAAUUCCCAUUUUCAAAAUUUUUUUUUAUUUAAAUUCCAAUUUUUAAAUUUAAUUUUUAAGAUUUCAAUUUUCAAAUAAUUUUCAAAACUCUAGUUUUCGUUCAAAUAAUAUUAAUUCCACUUCAAUUUUCAAAUAUUUUUAAUUUUACAACUUUUCAUCCUUUAUUAGGGUUUAGGUAAAAAAAAUCUUGUUUUGAAUAAACUUGCUACAUUUCACUUCAGGUAAGUACUUUUACAAAUUUUCUUUGAUUUUCAAAUAAUAUUUUCUUUCUCUUUAUUUUAAAUAAGCAUGAAUAUGAUUUUAAAUAAGCACGAACGUAGGUUUGGUUUUUCGAAGAUCAUAUUUUCCAAAUAAGAAGUCACAUUUACAGUUUUCUUUCUUAUUUUGUUUUCCCUUAAAAAAAAUAAAACAAAAAUAAGUGGUGACUCCAAGUCUUUUCUAAAAAUCAUAAAUUUUUACAAAUAAAUAAAAAAUGAGUUUUGCUAUCGAGUGGGAAUGCAUCGUGCAAAAUACAAGGUCCACAUAAUACUAAGUUACUUUACUAAGAUAUUGAAUGCACUUUAAAUAUUCCAUUAAGUCAUCUUUAUCAAUGUUGUUGAUUAUGAACUUAUAUUUUUUUUAAUUAUUAUUAUGAAAUGCUAAAUUAAUUAUUACAUUUUAAAAUCUAUAAAAUUAAGUAUGAACGUGUAUAUUUUAAAAUCUAUAGAAUUAAUUAUUAUAUAUUUUUCUUAUUUUAUGUAUUUAAGAUAAAAAUAUUCAAAAUUAAUAAUUUAAAUUGUCGUGCACCACCUUCUCUAAAACCCUAGGGGUAUGUGCCCUUUUAUAGGCUUUCAAGCUUGGUCUUCAUCGACCCUCUCACAUGGUGGACAUCUAAGCUCUAGGCAAAAAGUAAGCAAAUGGAGGUAGUAAAGUUGACCCUUGUCCAAAAUCAAAACAAGGCCAAAAUGAGAAUGAUGAGAGCCAAAAAAAUAAUAAAUAAAUAAAUAAACCCAAACCAAUAUAAAUAAGCCCAAAACAAACAAAGCCUAAACCCGAAAAAUAAAAUAAACUAGGCCCAAAAUCCAAUAUACAAAGCCCAAACUCAAAACAAAUAUGAUAGCCCAAGGCUACAAAUACAUCUCAGAGCAAUAACCGAAGUUCAAAAUAAUAUCCAAGAACCCCAAUACCCAUAAACAUGAAUCAAUAAAUAAAUCCAAAUCAAAGCCUAUUGUGGACUAGCAUUUUUCAUUCAAUGCAUCCUUAGUAAAAAAUGACGAGACUUACUAUUUGACUUACUAUUUAGCGAAAAACUGAUUUUUAUUAUAAAAAAAAUAUAAUUGUCACUUAUUUUUGUUUAUUUAUUGAAGGGAAAACAAAAUAAAAAAUAAAACCCUAAAAAUAACUUUUUAUUUUGAAAAGUCAAGUUACCUAUUGGGAAGUUAACAUAAGGUAACACCUCUUUAAACACUAAGACAGAUCUCUACUAAUCAAAUUGAAAUUACUAUGACAAUUAGUCAAUUAAUUAAUCAUGAAUACCAAGAAGCUAAGCGUAUAUCAAAAGCAAAGUAUAGCAAAAGGCUUCUCGAACAAGGCAUGCAUAUCAAAGAAUCAAAUAAAUGAGAAGGAAAUGAAACUAUCUCAAACAAUGAACCAAGUGUUUUCAAGUAACAAUUGGGUUAGCUCACAAAUAAUAAUAAGGAACCAUAAGCUAGGCCUCAUAAUGAAUGUAACAUAUGCAUAUCUCAACUCAUGAAGUAAAAAAAUGAUAUGGUGUGAACAAGAGGAAACAGGAUACAAUAAAACAUGUGGGUUGCCCCCUCGUUCGACAUCAUUCCAUGAAAACAAUGUCGUUCUAUGAACGGAGCAGAGGAUCGCUUGCACAUGGCACUAGUGACGAAGGAGUCGGUGGAAAACCGGCGCGGACCAAAGUCGGGAGGCAUAUUUUUCAUUUCUUUUUUUCUUUUUAAUAAUGAGGAGAAUCUGGUAAUUAUGAAUAAUUGGACAGGUGGAGCCUCGGAAUGAAGCAUGUCAGAGACCUCUAUUUCCACGAGGAUACACAGGGAUAUAGUUUUGAAGAAAAGAGCCAUCACCCUUAUCUUGGUCAUCGCAAAUUGUAUAUAGAUGUGGCCAAACAGAUUCAUUCUAGCGUAAACCUUACAAUGGCAAUAGCCAUCACCCUCAUAGGCCAAGCCUUGAUCUCUCUCGUUUGGUUUUGGAAGCCAAAAGUCCAAUCUCUUUUAUCCUUUGGGCCUCUUAUAUAUGGAGAGAGAGAGAUUGAGGCUGUGUCGAAGCUUGUAGUACAAGUUGCAAAUGACAUAUUGAUCCUGCAGUUUUUAGUUAGUAUAGUCACCACCCAUGGCUUGCGUUUUUAUUUUUAUUUAUGAGAGAGCAGAAGCUUUACUGUCUCUCUAUGGUGGCGGUUAGCUGCAAAGUGAAGUGCUGUUUUCUUGGUAUCUUUGAUUGCAAGGUAAGUUACAGACUUAUCUGAUGAUUUGUCUAGUAAUUGCUCCGCAAUUUUAGUAUAACCCAAGUAUGCAGCACAGUGAAGGGGAGACCACCCAUUUUCAUCAACUUCUUUUGUUAGAUCUGGCUUCCAUUCCAAUAACUUCGCUAUCAUGUCUGAUAAAGAAAUGAACCAACAAAAAAACAGCAGAGAAAAAAAUUUAAGAAAUUCCCUCUAGUAAAGCAUGACCCUUAGAGGUGAUCAUGAUCUCUAACAAUAUAUUGCAUGAGUAACUAACCAUGUAGGAAUCAAGAUUCAAGGAAAGGAUCUGCAUGUGUAUUAUACCUUGGUCCUCACGAAUUACAGCAGCAUGCAAAGCCGUUCUACCCAUUAUGCCACUGUGAGAUGGUGAAGCGCGAGUUUUGUCUAUAAUUAUACACACCAAGUCUCCAUAUCCUCUCUCGGCAGCCAUGUAAAGAGGAGUGUAGCCUGUAAUAUUUGCACCGUAGAUAAACUCAGGGUCUUCCUCAAUCAAUGACACCACAAUCUCUGAAUGAUGAUACCGCACCGCCUCAUGCAAGGCUGUGUCUUUCUCCUUAUUGGUCAUCCUCAACAUCGCCUUGUCUGUUCCAACCCCACUUUCGAUCUCUUGGUGAAGUGCUUUUGUGGCGUUAAGGAGAGCUUUCACAACCACCCCAUGGCCUUCUCUCGCAGCAAGGUGAAGUGGAGUGUCGCCUUUCAGAUUGGGCUGCUGCAGUAGAGGUGAACAUGAAUGAAAGUGAAGGAUCCACUCUACGCAUGCCAGCUGACUGAACUGGGCUGCAAUGUGGAGGCCAGUGUUCCUUUUUGGGGUUUGUUGGAGUUGAAGAUGAGCUUCUGAGUACUUUCUCUCGAGGAUACUGAUAUCACCUUUAUACAAAGCCUCGUACAAAUCAGCAUCCAUGUGGGUGAUCUCAGUUUGGCCAUCAGCUGCAAUCUGGUUCGACAUCUCAGUUUGUCUUGAAAAGGUUUCCAAGUUAAGGUUCUGCGAUUCUGUAAUUUAGUUGGAGCUGGACUGAUUCACUAUUGGCGUUGGAGGAGCAAAGUAAUAAUCAACUCUUCAGAUUCUAUAUAUAGCGCAUAGAAAAGUUGUUUGUCCAUCGCUACAAUUUUACUAAACCCAAAUUUAUUUUUAACUUUUUCUUCUUUUUCCUUUUUCCUUGCACUCUUGCACUCUUGCACUCCUGCACUCCUGCACUCCGUGUCUGGAUAGAGCCUAGAGAUUAGGCUUAAUUUUACGUGUCUCACCCGAUUCCACUGCAUCAUAUACGAUAGAGAAUAAGCUCACUGUGGCAUAACUCUUUAGCUAGAGAGAGAUUUAAGCUUAUGCUUGGUACUAAAAUUAAGAUUUCAUUUUAGUAUUGGUAAAAAACCUAGAUCUUCGAGUCAAAAGUUUCACAUUGAUCUAAGUUGGUUAGGAUUAUUAGUGGGCAAGAAUUGAUAUCUUGACUUUGAUGAGAAAUGUGAAAAUGAAAUCUAGUAGCUAUUUUGAUCAUAUAUAUAUAUAUAUAUAUAUAUAUAUAUAUAUAUAUAUAUAUAUAUAUAUAUAUGUAUAUAUAUUAAGCUUCUUUUUCGUCAAAAAAAUAAGUUGAAGAUGAGUUAAAUAGUUUAAAGUUAUAAUUAAAUUAAUUAGCGAAAUUAUUAAAUCAAUCCAUUUGAACCUAUGUUGUGUAGGUCGAUAUAAAAUCUAUAUAUUUAUUAAAUGUGUUAUACAGGUUAACAUAAAUUUGAUCCAAACUCAAUUAUACUUUACCCAAACAUGUAAAAAGCAUAUUAAGUUUGAGUUGUGUUGACGUAUUGUAUCAAACUUUGUUAUGCCUACAAAAUACAAUGUUAAGGCCCAAAUGAUUAAUAAUCACACAUGCUAAAGAGAGGAAAACCUAAAGGUUACCUGUUUUCAUGAUUGCAAUAUAUUUUUUUUUUGGAAAAAAGUGUGCUUCCAUACUCAUAUUUAACAAUAUCACAAGAUAAAAAUCCGUUAAAAGUAAUUUAAGUUUUAUGCACUCUAAAGUCAAGAUAACAUUUAGGGUAGUCAAAGUAUUACUAAUAUUAUUAAAAAUAGUACCAAUUUGCAAAAAAUAUGUAAAAUCUGAAUUAUUUUUAGAUAAAUAUAUUCAAUUAGAAAAUUUUAAAUUGGGAUUGUUAUAUGAUUUUUUUCAAAUGUAUGUAUGAAAACAUAAUUUAAUUUCUUAGAUUUUCUCUAUAAAGCUUGGUACCAAGGAGAGUUGUUUUGGCUCAAAAGUCCAUGUUUCUUUGUUCGUUGUCUAUUUAGUGAUUUUUUUUUCAUUUUUCUUUUUCUUUAUGUGGGGACGAAGUGAAGUGUAGUAUUUGUCUGGUACUGAAUUUUCUAUUUAAUUUAAUUAUCCUUUUUUUUGCCCUUUUGGUGGGGGAUGGAGUGUAAUAUUUGUCCAUUGCUUUCCUUUUCAUUUAUUAGAGACAAGUGGAAUAUUUGUUUGUUAGAAUUUUCUCUUUUAAUUAUUCUUUUUAUUUCUCUUUUGGUGGGAUGAAGCAUAAUAUUUGUCCAUUAUUGAUAUUUUUUUCUUUUUCUUUUUCCUUUUUUAGGGAUAGGUGGAAUAUUUGUUUGUUAGAAUUUUCUCUUUUAAUUAUUCUUUUUAUUUUUUUAUUUACUUUUGGUGGGGGAUGAAGCGUAAUAUUUGUUCAUUACUUAAAUUUUUCGUUUUCUUUUUCUUUUUUUUUUCUUUUUUCUUUUUGUAGGAACAAGUGAAAUAUUUGUCCAUUACUAAAUUUUCUCUUUUAAUUUUUAUUUUUCUUUCACCUCUUUCAAUGCUUAUUUUUCUCUCUUUUUGUAGGGGAUGAAACAUAAUAGUUGUCCAUUACUGACUUUACUUUUUUCUUUCUUUUUUCGUGAACAAAAUGGAACAUUUUUCGGUUAUUGAAUUUUCUCUUUUAAUUAUUUUUUUUAUGUUUUCUUUUUGUGGGGGCUAAAGCAGAAUAUUUGUAAUUUUGUGUUUCUCUUUCACUUUUUGUGGGGACGAAGUGAAAAUAUGUGUCCUUUAGUAUUGACAUUUGGAUAAAAAAAUGAGUAGGAAAUAGUUACACAACUUGGCAUCAAACGCUUUUAAGCUAACUUCAACUCAAAUAUAAAUAUUCCUUCCAACAUAAAGAAACUUAAGGAAAAAGAAUGGGAAGAAGUUCCAAAUUUUUUUAACCUAAUUAAGUAGAUUACGAAAAUCGGUCGGUCUUUCAAUGUAGCCUCUAGUGUUUUCUUUUUUUCUUUUCAAGUGAUAUCAUCUCUAGCCAAUUCUUAAAUGUCAUAUUAGCUCUUCCAUUAGGAUUUUCCGUAGGAAUUGAUGAAAAACUCAUCCGAAAAACAGGUAGCAUUAGUAUAAAAUUUUAUGUCAUAGGUUGGAAUAUGUUCAAAUUUUUUGUGUUGAUGAUAUGUUUUCCAUCCAUUUUUUACACAUGAAAAAACUUAAAAAAUUAUUCAAUAUUUAAGGAUAGUGUAGGAUUAAUAUUGUAACGCCCAAGUUUCUUUUUAGGAAAAUAUUAUUAAUAAUAAUAUUAAAUUAAUUAAUUAAUUAAUUUAAUAAAAUGAAAAAUGGGUGAAAAGGUAAUUUUACGAAUAAAUACCCUAGGUAUAAAUUAGAAUUCUGUUCUUCCUGUUAUUUUUUUAAUCGCGUUCCUGUUCGCAAAGAGUUCCUGAGAGCAUAAGAUUGGAGUUGGAUUUCAGGGUUUGAAGAACAUAUCUUUAUAGGUAAGAUUCUAGCCCCUAGAUUAAUAUUUUAUAUUCAUUAGUUAAUUUUAAACACAUUAGAUAUUUUUUGGAAAACCCAAAUCUAGAUUAGGGUUAGUUUAUUAUUAUUAUUUUAAUUCGUUUUAAUAUCAAAAUAAUGAAAAUUUAAGAUUUUGAUUUAUUGUUGGAAUUUGGGAGAUCUUAAGUUUUUUUAGAUGAAAAAAAAAAAAAUUCCUGGGAAGAUUUCGAUUUAUAUUAGGGUUAAUUUAUUUAUUUAUUUUUAAAUAAUAAUAAAUAAAUAUAUUGUUAAUUGUGGCUUAAGGGAUUAGAAAAAUACAAUUUGAUUUAACAAAAAAAAAAAAAAAAAGAGAAAGUGUGUGCACCGGAAAAUAGAAGGUUGGUGAAAAAAAAAAAAACGCGUGUGCACUGGUUGCAUGCGUGUGGGAACUGUGCAUCCUUUUUUUUUUUUUUUUUUUUGUAAGGAUUUCAUGGUUGAAAUUUAGUUGGUGGAUUUUCACAUACUCUAUUAUUAGGCUUUGAUGGAUACUUGGGUAUGUAAUAUUUAAUAGUAGCAGGACUCUGUAUAUUAGACUUUGAUGGGUACUUGAGUACUGAGUACUGUAUUAUUUAAUAAUGGCAUGGCUUUGUGUUAUUAGACUUUGAUGGGUAUUGUAUUAUUUAAUAAAAAAAGAUGUGUACGAAUGGUAUUGAGGUGGUUAAUAUAUAUAUAUAUAUAUAUAUAUAUAUAUAUGUGUGUGUGUGUGUGUGUGUGUGUGUGUGUGUGUGUGUGUGUGUGUGUGUGUGUGUGUGUGUGUGUGUGUGUGUGUGUGUGUGUGUGUGUGUGUGUGUGUGUGUGUGUGUGUGUGUGUGUGUGUGUGUGUGUGUGUGUGUGUGUGUGUGUGUGUGUGUGUGUGUGAAACCAAAGUUUGGUUAAUCUUGAUUUUGAUGAUAACAAAACAAGGUUUAGAACUAAUGACUACAUUUUAAGUGUGAUUAGGUAAGACGACUUCCAAAGUGGUAAUCCAAAGAUAAAUCAAGCCAAAGAGAAAUCAUGAAGAAGAAGACCACCUCAAAGAGAAGAGUUUUUCAAGACCAAAGCUUCUUAAGAUCUCUUUGUAAGGUUGUUGGUGCACUAUGACUUUCAUGCAUUUCAUUCUUUAUUUAUGCACCAAAAUCAUCCAAGAGUAAUAUUGUUUUAAAUAUCUUAAGAAUUGGAUGAUUUCAUGUUUUCAACUAAAACCUUGUGUUAAAUGAUUUUCAAACUUGUGUUAAAAGGUUUUAAGUUGAAAAGGGUUGAGUGUUGAGCCAAAAAAAUGGCUCAACCGGUUCAAUCGGUCAAUCAGUUGUGCUCGUUCGGUCGAGGACCGGUUGAGGGAGGCCAAAAAGUUUCUCUCUCUCCCAGUGGCCUUCUCUUCCCGGUCAAGGUUGAACCUCAACCGGUUGAGGUCUAGUCGAGGUCCGGUCGAGGUCCGGUUGAGGUCCGGUCGAGGUCCGGUUGAGGUCCGGUUGAGGUCCGGUUGAGGCCCAACGGUCACUUUCCCUAACGACUAGUCAACCGGUCGACCCCUAGCUCGAUCGGUCGAACCCCCAACAGCUAGUUUGACUUUUUUCUUCUAUAAAAAGGCUCCAAUCUUCAUUGUUUCAAAAAACUUAACCUUCCCAAAUCAUUCUUGAUUAUAUUUGAGCCUUGGAAAAGUGUUUUUGAGUGCACCAUUGUUUCAUAACUUGCAUAUCUUUAGUGCACCAUUUAAUCUUAGUUUUUCUUAUAUCUUUGAGCCUAAAGUUCUAUUACUAGGAUUUUGAGAGAUCAUUAUUUGUAUAUCUUUGUGAUGAAUUUUCUCAAGUGUGGGGUAUCACUUGAGGGUUGUUCAAGAGUGGGAUAUCUCUUGAGAAGUCUAAAGGGUGCUUGGAGCCAAAAGUCCAAGAGGGUGAAUUGGAACCAUAAUCCAAUUGUAAAGAGAUUGGAAGCUUGGUUGAAGCUUCAAGAUAGUGGAACCCUCACUCAGUUAGGAGGUUGAGGAGAGUGGAUGUAGGCAAGAAAGUGCCGAACCACUAUAAACUCUCGUGUUUGCACUCUCUCUUCCCUAACUCUUUUAAAUUAUAUGCAAUUGUGUUUAUUUUGUUUAUUAUAUACUUGCAUAUAAUUGUCUCUUAUUUUUGCAUAAUUUAAAUUUGAGAAAAAGAGACUAUCACCCUAUUUACUCCCCCCCCCUUCCUCCUCUAAGGUGAUUACCAUAGUUUGGAGUAGCCCUAUUUUUCUAAUAAUAUAUAUAUAUAUUAUAUUAGCAAUGAUGGAGAGUUGUUGUGUAUAAGCUAUGUUUGGUGAAAAAAAAAACUUGAAAGUGAGAAAAUAUAAUUUAUAAAUAAAAGAAAGUAAAGUUUUUGGUAUUAUAAUUAUAUUAAUGAUGGGUGUAAGGUAAUAAAUAGUAUAGAAUUUAAUUAGUGAAAUAAAUUACAAUUUAAUUAAAUUAUGUUGUGUCUCAAGAAAUAAAUUGAAAAUAAAAUUUAAGUUUUAUAUGAAUUAGAAAUUUAUUAAAUUUUCUAAAAUAGGAAUAGAUUAAAUUAUCUUUCAUAAUAAUAAAAAAAAACAUUAAUUUGAAUAUCUAAAAUUUUAGGAUUGUCAAACCUAUAAUUUUAGAUAAAUAAUAAUGGUUAUUUCUCUUAUAUUUUGUUAGGUAAAGAGUUGAUUUUCAGGAUUAUUUUUCUCCAAAGUUUUUGAGGACUUUUUUUGAGGUAAAGGAAAUUAAUGCAGUUAUUAUUUUUUUAGAAACAAAUUUUUAUAUACAUCAUUUGGAAACAUUUUGAGUUAUUAUUCGUUUUAUGUAUGGAUCAAAUAUGUUUUGCAUGAAAAGUAUGUUAAAACCAUAUUUUAUUUACAAUAGAGAAAUGUGGAGAUAUUAUGUUUUGCAAAUUUGAAUAAUUAAAAUAAGUUUUUGACUCUGGUUUGUUUGGCCCUUGUCAACGAGAUAUAAUAGUUGACUUUUGACUUUUUAACCCUUGUCAAUGGGAUAUAAUAGUUGACCUUUACAUUUCUUGGUGGGAAAUGUAAUUGAUUUGGACCCUAGCCUCUAAGGGUUUGGUUAGAGGUUACUAAUACUAGUAGUGUUUGGUUCCGUCCACCUUAAAUGAACAAUUUGAGGCUAGCCACCUAUUUGAAAAGUCUCACAUAACUGGGCACCAUUUGAUGUUUGAUGACCAAAGUAACUAAAUUAUUUGAAUGUUUUGACUGAAUUUGACAUGAAAAUGUUUGAAUCAGAAAUAAAAGUGUACAAAUAAAAGUUUUGAAUGUAUUGACAAAACCGACUCAAAAGUUUAUGAAAAUAAUUAGUUAUAAUAUCUCCUAUUUUGCAAGUGAACUUGAAAUAUUUGAUCUAUGGACUGCAUUAAUGUUCCUUAUUGGGCUUUGAACUCAUUCCCCUUUGUUAAUAAUUUUUUUCAGGUACCCUUAGUUCGGGCGAGGAGUGAUGACUAGGUCAGGGAAUGGUCUUCAUUAGGAUUUUGCUUAGGAUGUUAUUUUUGGACAUUGUUAGCUUAUAAGUUUAUGUUCAUUUGGAUUAUUUGGUUUUUGGAAGCUAUUUAGAUUUGAACUUACAAAUUUUUUUUAUGAUAGUUUGAAGUUGAGAUUUGGAGAUUAUGAAAAUUUGUUAACACUUGAUUUGUUUGAGUUUGCAAUCUAUUUGGAUAAUGGAUUUUGGUUGAUGGAUGCUUAGUUUUAAAGUUACGUUUGAAGAUUUUAGAAUUUUGUUCCAUUACUCUGAAUAGGUAUUUGGUAAUUGGUUACUUCCAAUUACAAUAUGAUUGUUUGGGUCAGGUUACACUUUAAACCUUCAGGUUUGAGGUGUGAAAUGACCGGCAUGCCCUUGGAGUGGGUCUUGGGACGUGACAAAUAUUAUAACAAAAAAAUAAAAAAAAUAAAAUUGGGAACUUAUAAAUUAAGAUAUAAGUAAAAGUAUAAAUUUCACACAAGAGAGUAGGGAAGAAAAUGUCGGGAUAUAUCGAAAGGUUUCAACACGAUAAAUCAUGGUGAUAUAUCAGAGAGGAGAAAUUUCUGUAAAUAUCACCAAAAAAUCGCGGAUAUAUCGGUUGGAGGCGAUAAAUUGCCAAUUUUUUUUUCAUUAAUCUGUUGUCACAAAAAAAAAAAUCGCCGAUAUUUCUGCAAAAAGAAAACGCCCUUCUCUGCCCAAACUGCCUGCCCCUCUGCCCAGGCCUACCCUAUGCCCAGACUCCCUUUCCCCAGCCAAUCUCCUGCUCGAGCUCUAUUCCCCACUUUGCCUAUAUAUGAGACCUCCACGGUUCCACCUGCUCCUCUGCCCAGGCCUAUCAGUCUACCCAAGCUCCCCUUCCCCAGCCAGUCUCCUACCUGGGCUCCAUUCCCCAUUUUGCCCAUAUAUAAGACCUCCAUUCCCCUUUGUUAAUUUUAACCAAACGUGUGUAUAUAUAUAUAUAUUAAAAGUAUGCACAAAAGAAUAUUUUUGAAAACAAAUUAAUUAUAAUUAUUAUAAAAAAUUAUAAAAAUUAUAGAUAUAUUGUAAUUUAUUUUAUAUCAUUUAAUAUAAUUAAAUUAAAUGAAUCAUAAAUUUAAUAUUAAAUAUAUUUCAAAAUUAUAUAUAUUAUGAUUAAAUAUUAUGAUAUUAUUAUAAAAUAAUAUUUGAUGUAAUUUAAUAAUAAAUGUACACUUAUAAAAUUCAUAUUUUUAUCAAUGCAUACGAUAUUAUUAUCAAAUAUGAUAAAUCAUAUUAUACAUAUAUCAAAUUAUUUAAUAAAAUAACUUAAAAAUAUCAUUAUACUUCUAAUUACAUUUUUAUGAAGUUUUUCUUAUAUUUUUAUAAAUUUUGAUCAAUUUUAGGAUUAUCAAUAUUUUUUUCCAAAAUAUUCGUCGAUAUAUUUUUGAUAUAUCCGUAAUUACCGAUAUUUUCAUCCUUCCAGGAGAGUAAAUCAAAUUAAAAAAAAAAGAAAUUAUUGAAUUUAAAUAACACUUUUCUUUCUUUCCUUUUUGUUUCCCAUUGUUUUUAAUGUGCUAAUGGAGCCAUAACAUGUGUGUUGGUCAUAUGUUUCCUUUUGUUUAAACAUUGACCCAAAGCCUUAGUGGAUCUCUACGGUUAUGUUUGGUUAUUUGGAAACUUGAUAGAAAAUGUGAGGGGAAAAAAAUAGGGAAGAAAGAUAAAAGGAAAGAAAAAGUGACAAAAAAAAAAAAGAUGUAAAAACAAUAAAUUAUUUGUAUAUGUUUCUUCAAAAGUUAUUUCACUUAUUUUCCUUUAUUACAUAAAGAUUAAAUAAAUUAAAAAUAUAUCAAUUUUUAACAAAUUUUAAUUAUAUUUGUCAAAUUAUGGGUGUAUAUAUAUUUAAAAAUAUCGCCAUUAAUAUAUAUAUAUAUAUCAAAUAUAAAUUAAUCUAAAAAAUGUUAAUAAAGACAAUGGUAGAAGUAUCUUAAAACCUUACCACCUCUAUCAAGAUGUAUGUGUUAAUACUUAAUAUCCUUCAAACUUUGUCAUUCAAAUUAAAACAAGAGUUGGAAGUAUAUCAUAAUAGAACAAUUGUUUUUCAAGAGAGAUGAAUAGUACCUUUUAACUUAGGUUCACAUUCCUUAGUGGACCCAAUUAAUUAGUAAGUGAAAUUUCAAACAUAAAUCAAUCUCAAAUAUUAAUAUCGAUAAAGACUAGGUAUAUACCAUAUCAAAAUGGUAGAAAUAUCUUAAAACCCCACCACCUUUAUCAAGAUGUAAGUAUUAAUAUCCUCCAAGUUUUGUCAUUCAAAUUAAAACAGGAGAUAAAAAUAUAUCAUAACAGCACAAUUAUUUUUCUGUAGAUGAGUAGUCCCUUUCCACUUAGGUUCACAUUCAAAGAUAUAUAUAACAUGAUUUUAAAACACACAAUUCACUCAAAUCUUAUUAGAUUUUACCAAAUCCACAUCAUUGUCUCUUGUGCAAACACCGGAAAAACCAUCAAACCUAAUAAAAAAUCAUUAAAAAAAAAUCUAAUUGUAAUGUAAUUACAAAAAAAAAUAAUCUUAUUUUUAAAAACAAAAGUGAAACAAGGUUCGGUGAAAGUGGUAGAUGUAUCUAUGUUCAAACUGUACUAGCUAUAUUCUGAGAGUUCAAAAGAGUCAGUGGAGGUACAAUGGGGCAACAUAAUUGUUUUGGUGGAAGUGUUUUGUGGCUCCUUCAAAUCUCAAGUCCGUAUUUUCAAAGUUGUUUGUCCAAAUAGGAUUUUCUUUUUCUUUUUGGCAUGAUAAGGAUAGCUUGUAAAGAUUAGAGAAAUAAAGAUUUAUUUAAUAAAAAAAUAAUUUAUAUAAAUUAAAUUUAAAAUAAAAAGUCAUACUCACAAGUAAACGUAAAAAUUGAAAAAUUAUCCAAAAAAAAAUUGUUUUUUCUUUUUGUCACACUAUCAAAUAUUUUUCUUCUUAUUUUUAUAAAUAAAAAAUAAACCCAGGAUUAGAAAAUAUUUUUUUUCUAAAAAUUUUAGAAAAUAUGGGCAUGUUUGGUUAGUUGUUUCAAAAAAAGUUUUUUGUUUUUGAGAACAAAACAUGUUUGAUAAGAGAAUAGUUUUUGUUCCCAUGUGUUCUCUGUGUUUUCUAAAGUCUGGUUUUCAGAGAACAAAAAGAUGGUGUUUUUCAUCACUGUUCUAAGAAAAAAAAAAAAAUUUUUCUUCAUAUUUUCAAUCACUGUUCUUGGGUGUUCUCAUCUCUUCACUAUGAAGGAAAAUUCUUUACACUACGAGAAAAAAAAUCAGAAAAUGGGAAAAAUAAAAAAAUCGGUCUAACAAAAAUUCAAACAAAAACUUAACAUUAUCGGCAAUUUUUUUAUUUUUUGGUCAUUUCCAUUUCAAUAUUUUUAAGAUAUUUUAGGAUUUAUCCCCAUAUGAUUUUUCGAUGCAUUUCAAAGCCAAAACCUCCAUAUAUUCUAGGAUUUCCCUGAAACUAAACAAAAUAUAAACAAUAAGACAAAAAACCCAGAAUGCAAAAAAUAAAAAAGAAUAGAAAAAUUAAAACAAAAAUUGAAACCCUAACCAGGAAUCUUUACAACAACCACAAUAUGGAUUUUGAUCUCAGUAAGUAAUGUUUUGAUCUUAAAAGAGAGAAAUAAACCGACGGUGAAUAAAAAUUUGGAUAUUGGAAGAGAAAGGGAGAUAGGAAGGAAAGAGAAACAGAGAAUAGGAGGGGAAGAGAAACAGAGGAAAACAGAAGAAUGAGAGAAAUGAGAACAUGGUUUCAGUCCCAAUAAAUAUAAAUAUAAAUAUAAAUAUAUAUAGUAAAAUAAGUAAAAUAGUGAAAAUUAAUAAAUGUUUAUAAAUAAAUUAGUUUGAUUUCCUUUUAAUUUUUUUUAUCUUUUAUAUAAUUAUUAAAUAUAAAAUAAAAUUUAAUUUUAAAUAAAAUUAUAAAUAUUUUUAAACAAAAAUUAUCAUAAAUAUAUCAUUAUUAAUUAAUUUUUUAUAUUAUUAAUUACAUUUAAAAUAGAAAAAAUACAUCAUCUAUUUCUAAGUAUAAUGCAUUACUAUUUGAUAUCAUAAAUUUUAUCUUCAUAAAAUCCAAUAAUUGAUAUUUACCAAUUUAUGACAUUUUGAUCAUAUAAUUUAUCAAUUAUUGAAAUCAAACACAUUUAAAAAUAUUUAUAAAGUAAUCCUUUGUUUGAAAAAAUUAAAAAUGAUGCAUAAAAUUUUCAAAAUGAAACAUUUUUAUUUUUUAUAAAGUGUGAAUGUAAAAAUUAUUUAUUUAUUUAUAAUAUCAAUUAGUUAAAGAAAAUACUCAACUUUAAAAAACAAAACCAAUUAUUAUUAUCUAUUGUUGAAUUUUUUUUAUUUGUAUCCUUUUUUCAUUAAUGGAGAGGAGUUAUGAAAAAAAUUCAAUUAAAAAAAAAACCAACUUUUAAACAUGUUUUUNNNNNNNNNNNNNNNNNNNNNNNNNNNNNNNNNNNNNNNNNNNNNNNNNNNNNNNNNNNNNNNNNNNNNNNNNNNNNNNNNNNNNNNNNNNNNNNNNNNNNNNNNNNNNNNNNNNNNNNNNNNNNNNNNNNNNNNNNNNNNNNNNNNNNNNNNNNNNNNNNNNNNNNNNNNNNNNNNNNNNNNNNNNNNNNNNNNNNNNNNNNNNNNNNNNNNNNNNNNNNNNNNNNNNNNNNNNNNNNNNNNNNNNNNNNNNNNNNNNNNNNNNNNNNNNNNNNNNNNNNNNNNNNNNNNNNNNNNNNNNNNNNNNNNNNNNNNNNNNNNNNNNNNNNNNNNNNNNNNNNNNNAAUUAAUUGUAAAGUUUUAGAGAUUUAUAUAUAAUAGGUAUCAUACAUAACACAUAUAUCAAUGAGGUGUUUCAUUUUGUUUUGAUCUAAAACUUUACACCAUCUUUAGCUGCAGCCUGGUUGGUGAUCUGGAUUUCCCUAGCAUCUUCAGCUCCAACCUGAUUGGACUCUCUACUCAAGUUAAGGCUGGAAGUAGUGGAAUCGGCCAUUGUUGUUUGAUGAGCAGUCUCCUUUCUAUAUUUUGCGCCAAGGAUGGGAAACAAGUUGACCAAUUGUUUAAUGGAAUGGGUGGCUCUUAGUUCAACCUUGGGAGAAGUUGAUACUUCUUAUAGCCUGCAGGCCAAAACGUUGGGCUGAUGACAAUUUCCCAUCUCAUUGGAUGGAUCCAUAUGCAUAAACAGUACAACGAAAUAUUUGGUCACAUAUUCAAUUCUUAACAAUCCCUUGUAUGAUCAAAGUGAAGAGAAUUUAAAUUGCAUAGGAUCACAUGUUAACAUUUAAGCAUACAUUUAAUAGCAAAAAUUCAUCCGGUUACCUUGGUUCAUGCCAUCAGAAGCCAUUUCUUCCCCCUCUGAUAUCCAAUAAGCUGCUUUCCGGGUGCAUGAUGGUCCAAGAAUGAGGGAUCAAUGAGCUCUUCCCUUGCCUCCCAAAAUUCAGUCCAAAGUGAAGUGUGUGUGUGUUUUCCGAGAGUGCUCUCCAAAGAGAAGAAAAGAUGAUAUAUAUAUAUAUAUAUAUAUAUAUAUAUAUAUAUAUAUAUAUAUUACACAUUACAUACUUUAUUUGGACGACUUGACUUAAUGGGCCAGUCAAGUGAAUUAGGAUGAACCCAUAAAAAUUAAGCAAUAAUAUGUGUCCAGUCCCAUUGUGGACCACAAUGCAAAAAAUAAAUUAACACCGAUUUAUGAUAUUAUCAAAUUGAUUAUGUAAAUCCACACAUAAAAAUUCCAACACAAAGAAGUUCAUUGAAUUUUACCCAAAAAAAUAUAAGCAUUAUUCUAAUUAUGUCUUUUAUUUUCAUAAAUAUUAAAUAUAUUUGGUAGCAUCAUUGUUCUUAAAAAUUAUAAAUAGAAAAUUAUUUUUGCUAAUUGUGUUAAAAAUAAUAAAUACAAUAUUAAUUUUUAUAAUUAUUAUAUGUUAUAUUUUUUGUGAUUUCUUAAAUGGAUUUCAAUGACUUUUAAUGUCGACAAGCAAGACAUACAUGCUGUUGGUUUAAUUGUAGAAAAACAAGAUGUGGUGAGUUUCGCGUGUUAAUUUUGUAAAUUGAAAUGGGAAACAGUUCGUUUCUUUCCAUUUAUGUUUUAAUUUUUCUUCAUUCAUGUUUAUGUUCUUAUUCUUUCUUUUUUUUUUUUUCAAUUUUUAAUUUAAAUAUAGGUAUGGAAUCAUAAUUGUCCAUCUCUUAAAAGUAAUCUACAUUAAAAUGUACAUCAAAUAAAUUUAAGUGAUGAUUAAGAAUAAGGGCACGAAACUUAGGAAAGGGCUAAAAUAAAAAUUGUAAUUGUUUUUAAAAAUAAUUUUAAAAAAUAACUUUUUAAAACAGUUUUUGAAAAUUGUUAUCCGAUGUCUUAUAGAAUAAAAAUUUGUUUGAAAACUUGAAAUAUUUUUAAUCUAUUUUUAAUGUUUUUAAAUAUAUUUUAAAAAUAAUUUUUUAUAUUUAAUCAUUUUAUUUAUUUAUAUAAUUAUUUUUUAAAAUAUUCAUAAAAAAAGAAGUGAAAACAAUUAAAAUAUGUUAUUUAAAAACACCAUAUUUUUUGUUUUUAAAAACACCAUAUUUUUUGUUUUUAAAAACAUAAAACAUAGAACAAUUUUCUAGUAGUCAAAUAUAUUUUCCUUUUUUUGUUUUUUUUUUUUUAAACCUAUUCUCGAAAACAAUUAUCAAAGACCAUAUAUUUUUUACUUUCAUUAUCUAAUAACAUUGCAAUUAUUUUAUAAAUUAUGUUGAAAACAAUUAGCCGUAAGGCAUAGUAAAAUUAAGUUAGAAAAAUUAGUAUAUAUCAGCUACGAGAAAAAUGAGUUACACAAAGAACAAAGCAGAGUGUAAGCUUUCUAGUAGCGUGCAUCAUGAGAUUUCAGGCCCAGCAAACUUAACCGCAGAGGCAGAGUGCAAGCUUUCUGGUAGCGUUCAUCAAGAGAUUGCAGGUCUAACAAACUUAACCUUGCUUGAUCUGUCUUUAUAAUGAGAUUGCAGGUCUAGCAGGGCCUCUACCGAAGUUCUUUGACUGGUCCAAUCGCCGACCUUUGACUGGUCCGGUUUGGUCCUCUCCUUCUGGGUGGUUGAACUGACCACAAACAGAGUGAACCAACUGAACCGGGCGGUUCUUCAUGAACCGCACGACUCAAUUCCAGCCCAGCCUUCUCCCUAUUUUCUUUCAUCCAAACAGUCCAACCUUCCCCUCCUCUCUUUCAUAGGGGCCCAAGUAAAAGCCCAAUAAGCCCGGACAGGUUCUCAAUUCCAGCCCAGCCUUUCCCCUAUUUUCUUUGUAGGAUCCACCGCAAGCAUUUGAACCCUAAACCUCAACUGCGCAAGCAUCACAGAGCACCACUUGGCCAUAGGCUCAUAGCACAUUUUUUUAUACUAAGUUUAGCAAAUAAAAAAAUCUAUAUGUGUUUCUAAAAUAAUUUAUAAUAUUAAAUAAAAAUAAUAUAAUAUUUUUUGAAAUUAUAAAAUCAGUUAAAAUUUUCUUUCAUUUUUAAUAUAUUCACAUUUAAAUAUUAUAUAUAUUCCAUUUAAUAAAGUUUAAAAUAUUAAAUUAUAUAUAUUUAUAAUUGAUAACAUAAAAAAUAAAAUUAAAUAUUAUUAGUUUUUAAUUUAUUUAUAUAUAUAUUUUAAAAAUUAUUAUUUUUAAUAUUAAUAAUAUAUAAAUUAUAUAUUUAUAAUGUUACUAGUUCAUGACGAUUCGAUUCAAUCAUUGAAUUGUGAAUUAUAACAUUUUUUUUGUUCAAUGACAAGUUUCGAUGCAAAAAACAUUGUGAGAAACCUUCAGGGACCUGUCAUAACCAGCUAACCGGAACCAUCCCUGUUGAUCUGGGCUUGUUGAUGCCAAACUUAGUUAAGCUUGAUUUUUUAAAAAACUGGCUCAUUGGAUCACUUCUGACUUCCCUCAUUUAUAUUCUGCAUGAAAAUCCUGACCCAUCUAGACAUUAGCAUGAAUUCUUUCUUGGGUCUCACUUCUCUUGAUUUUAGCCUCUUUGUUGCUUCUAAAUGCCAACAACUAACCUGUGUCUCUGACUUUUUAUGAAAUAUAACUUCCCCUUCUAUUUUAUAUCUUUAGAACAACAGAGUCACAGGCAGCUUCUUCACUCUCAAAGCUUGUUGCCUUGGCAUAACUCAAUUUCUCCAAUAACAAUUUCGAAAUAUGCCAUGCUAAAUUUGUGACAUAGUAGACCUUGCCUUUGUCAAUUUCUCUGGCAACAGAUUCACUGGCUAUGCACCAGAGAUUUGCAUGAAGGACCAACAGUGCUCAGCACUCCUACCUUUAUCUCUUCUUGGCACGGCUACACAGCUGUGAGGGCUCUGACGCAAGCGGCCAAGCCUCUGUUUGAGCUGUUGUACCACUUUCAUCUUCCUAGUUCUGCUCAUUUUCCUUCUCAGACGGAGGAUGCUGAGGCAAAAAACUGUAGUUGUUGACGAGGGAAAGGGCAAGCUGGUGGCAGUAGUUGAGUCAUAAUCCACUGAUGAGCUGCUGGGCAAGAAGAUAAAAGGGACAACUAACAUUAACUUUGCAACAUUUGAGCGCUCUUUGCUGCGGAUGGAACCUUUAGAUAUCUUAUCAGUGACUGACAACUUCAGCAAGACUUAUGUUAUUGGUACAGUUUAAUUAUAGAGCCUGACUGCCAGAGGGAUGAACAAUUGCUGUCAGAAGGCUCAACAGAAGGCGUUUGCAUGGUGACUGGGAAUUCUUAUUUGAAAUGGGGAUAGUUGGAAAGGUUAAGCGUGAAAACCUGGUCCCACUCCUUGGAUGCUGCAUCCUUCAGGACAGUUGGGAAUUAUAGGGUGUGUUUGCUACUGUGAAAAUGAAGAUUGCGAAUCAACAUCUUAUUUCUUCUCCUUCAUUCCCAUAUGGAUAAUUUAUAAAUGAUGAUGAGAAUGAAAUCAAAAGUGAUUUCAAUGGAAAUGAAAUCUCACUUAUAAAUGAGAUUUCAAUUCAUUCAAACUAAUAGGUAUUUUGAUUCUUUAGUGCAAGUUCUUCUUAAAAAUAUUUUUCAAAAAUUAAAAAACUAAGACUUUUUUAGAUAAGUUAUUUUAAAAAUAAUUUUUUAUUUUAAUUUUGUAAAAAGCACAAAUUAUAAAUUUAAUUUAUAUAAUGCAAAUUAAAUUUAAUUCAUAUUUUAUUAAAAAUAAAAACAAGUUUUGUUAGAAGCAUUCGUCUACACCUCAAAAGGAAGCUUCAGGUGCAGGAGUCUCAACACUGGACCCAUUGUAAUCGUGUUUUUCAAGCAUUGGACAGCUUUCUUGCAAUCCGACUCCCAAUCCCACCUUGUCUCCUUCUUUAGCAAAUUAGUCAAAAGAAUGACCAUCUCAUAAUAGCCUUUUAUUCAACGCCGUUAGUAAUUAGGUAAACCAAGGAAGGAAUAUGGAUAUUGAGAUUUUAUAAAAGCAAAAUUAAUUUAUUUUGUUAAAAAUAAAGAAAAAUUAUUCAAAAUUAAUCAUUUCUAAUAAUAUUCUAUUUUGAAUGAAUAUAAAAACAAAUAAAAUUUAAUUUUUUUAAGGUGUAAAUGAGCCAAAAUUUUCAUUUUAUGCAUACAUUUAUUAAUCAAUUACAAAUAUAACAUUCUAAAUUAUUUUAUUUAAUCUAUAAUUAAUUAAUUAGUUUUUUGAAUUUCAAAUUAUUAUUAAAAAUUACAAGAUUUGUUAAAGAAUCUAAAACAUUAAUUAUGUCAUUAUAUAUAUCAAGUUUUAAAUUAUUUUUUAAAAUCAUUAAACUUAUUAAUAAAUUAAUACAAAGUCUCACUACAUUUGAAAUUCAUUUUUCUAUAUUACUUUUAAAAUAAAGAAUAAUAACUAAAUAAUGGUAUAAAUCUUUAAAAACAAUUUUGUUUUUAAAUCACAUACCUAAAUAGGUUUUUAUCAUUUAGCAAUUUUUUAAAAAAAAAAAAAUCUCAAGGAUUUUCUUUUAAAUGAAAAUAAAAAAUUAUUUCAAACUAUGUUGAAUGUGAGAAUUUUUUAAAAUAAAUAUAAAAAAAAAUUAUUUUAAACCAUGAGAAAGAAUAUCUUUAAAAAUUUUGUUUAUUUUUUCGUUUGUAUUCCCAUUUUUACUCAGAAUCAAAAUGGAAAUAAAGUAUCAUUUUUAUCUUAUAUUUCUAUAUGCAUCCAAAUAAAAGAAUUAAAAUUAUCAAAUUUAUUUCUAAGAAUGAAAACAAAAUAUUUAUUCACAUAUUUUUUGUUUCCACCGCCCAAGACGCAUGCUCUCAAGUCCAACAUAUGCAGCAUAGAGAUAGAAGAGGCUGCUGAAGAUGCAAUGAAAAGUGAGAAUUGGGAAUCCAAAGGAAUGUGGCAGCACAGCAUACAGCCCCGUCGUGAAUGCUACCACCAUUGCUCCCAUCCCAAACAGGGUGAGAUAAGAGGCAUAAAAAAACAAGUGUAGCCACGUCCUCAUAUUGAGGUCAUAAAACAGUGCAUGUUGCGCUGCCAUACUAAAAAAUAUGAAUACGGCACUUACCGAGAACGUCAGGGCUAUGGUAUCCGACACAACAAAUGCUUUGAAAGAUGCUUUCUUUGUUAAGAUUGCCAUCCCAUCUGUGUCGCUGUAACCACCAGGCAAGGUGAAGCCUGCCGCAAAGGUUACUGUUGCCGUAAGUGUUGCCACUAUCAAAUGGGAUAUACUUGCCUUUUUCACGGAAGAGAUGAUUUUGUCCUCCUCCUUAUCAUCGUCAUCUAUUUUGCCACCAUAUUUGCUGUCAUCCUUUCUGACGACGUGCUGCAAACUGGAAGGUCUAAAAGGCAGUCUUAAAUAUUUCUUAAAUCCUUCAAAUCGGUCAUCUACUUGUGCCUGCUGCGAACUGGAAGAUCUAAAAGGCCGUCUAAGAUAUUCCUUACUUCUCUCAUGUAGGUGAUAUAACUGCGGAGAUUCUAACGCAGAGAUCUGAAAUUUGAUCAGAGUAAAAUUCCUAUUAGAGAAAAACAGAAAAUUAUAUAUAUAUAUAUAAUGCAUGAGAAGAUCAAAUAAAUGGAUAUAUGAUUGACAAAUAGGAUAAAGUAAUAGAAAAUUUAGUUAAAAAGCCUUACCGUGCCACAUGAAAAUUUAUUCCGGGAAGAAAAAAAGUUGUCAGAAAAGUUUAACUUUUCUUUGUUCCGUUCCAUCUUAUCCACCGUUUUGUCCAAUAUGAAAUCUACAUCAUUAACUCCGAAAGAAGCAAGCAGGUGGAGGGGUGUGUCUCCUUGAGCAUCUUUCUCAUUUACAAGUCCUCUCACUCUUAAUCCAUCCUUUAUUAAUAGCUCACUACCAAAAUGAGAAGGGUGCUUCUUCAUCAUGGCAAAGUGAAAAACAUUAUUGCCAUUCUCAUCAACCUGCUCACAACAAUCUGGAGCGUGUGACAGCAGCAACUUUACUAUGUCCAUACAGCCAUUGUAACUUGCAAUGUGAAGGGCUGUUUUGUUGCUGUUUUUUAUUCCAAGGUAGAUUACAGACUUGUCUGGUGAUCUGUCCAGUAAUUGCUUGGUAAUUGCAGCGUCACGCAUGUAUGCAGCACAAUGAAGCGGAGACCAGCCAUUUUCAUCCACUUCGUUGAUUAGCAUUGGCUUCCAUCCUAGUAUCUUCUUUGUCAUUGCUGAUCAAAUAAAUAAAUGAAGAAAGAGAGGUCAAGGAAUAUUAAAGAAAAUUAAUUAUAAAAUGAAUAACCUAAUGCAUUACUAUAGGCCCUUAUAUGCACUACCUUGGUGACGGCAGAGUACAGCAGCAUGCAAAGCUGUUCUACCCUCGAUGCCUUUGUGAUCUGAUGAAGGGCUGGUGUCUAUGAUUAUUUCCACCAAGUCCCCAUAUUCUCUCUCGGCAGCCAUGUAAAGAGGAGUGUAGCCUGUACUGUUAGCACCAUAGAUGAACUGGGGGUCUGCCUCAAUCAAUAACUUCACCACUUUUGAGUGAUGAUACCGCACUGCCUCAUGCAAGGCUGUGUCUUUCUCCUUAUUUUCCAUCCUCAUCAUGGCCUGAUCUGCUCCAACCUCACUUUCCAUCUCUUGAAGUUCUUUUGCAGCAUCAAUUAGAGCUUUCACGACCCCCCAAUGCCCUUCCCUGGCUGAAAGGUGAAGUGGUGAGUCAAGCUUCAGAUUGGGAUGCCGCAGGAGAGAUGAACAUGAAUGAAAGUGAAGGAUCCAGUUUACGCAUUCCAACUGACCGAACUGAGCUGCAAUAUGGAGGACAGUGUUCUGUUUUGGGGUUCGUUGGAGUUGAAGAUGAGCUUCUGAGUACCUUCCCUGGAGGAUACUGAUAUCACCUUCAUACAAAGCCUUGUACAAGGCAGCAUCCAUGUGGGUGAUAUCAGUUUGGCCAUCAGCUGCAAUCUGUUUCGACAUCUCAGUUUGGCUUGAAAAUGUUUCCAAGUUAAGGUUCUGCGAUUCUGUAAUUUGGUGGGAGCUGGACAGAUCCAUUAUUGGUGUUGGAGGAACAAAGUAAUAAUCAACUCUCUACAUUCUAUCUAUCCAUCAUCUAUCUAUAUAUAUUUAUAUUUUGUGAACAAGUCCUUUCAAGCUUUUGUCCAUGAUUGAAAGAUAUUUUAUGUAAGAGCAUAUGUGGAAGGGUUCUUGUCCACGCAUGAAAGAUAUUUUAUUUAGAGCAUGUGGAAGGAAAAGUUGUUUGCACAUAUAUAUAUUUUUCUCUUUCUAUCUUUUCUGACAGUUCCCGUUUUUAAUCAAUUACUUGAUCAGAUUUUUAUGAUGGGAUUGUGAAGUCACUACAAAAUGGAUAGACAACUUUGGGCAACACCAAUAGGAGAUGCUUGUGGAAAAGGAUGAAGAAAAGCGCUUUGAAAAAUGGUUUUCUUACCCUGUUAUACAUUGUACAGCGUUUUCAACCAAUUCUCUAUUUUUCAAUUAUUCAAGCAUUCUACAAAAAAGAACACAAUAUAUAUAUAUAUAUAUAUAUAUAUAUAUAUAUAUCUUAAAUUUCUUCUUAAAAUUGAUAUUAUAUUCAAAAUAAAUUUUAAAAAAAGAAAAUUAUUUUCAGUCCAAAACCUAUUAAAGGUGUUUUGGAAAUUGAAAAAUGUUUUUCUUAAGAACAAAAUAUUGUUCUUAAACAAAUCACUUAUACAUGUCUUGAUCAAAAUAAUUCUCAAAAAAUAGUCUUUCAAAAUAAUUUUUAAAAAAAUUAUCAAUUGAAAAAAAGUUUUCUUAAUUCAUUCUCAUGUAAUGCAAUAAUUUCUAAAGUAUUCUUGAUAAUUUUAAUUAUUUGUUAUAAUACUUAACAAUUUUUUUUUUAAAUAUUGAAAAGACUUUAAAUUCAUUUUGAAAAAUAGCUUAUCUUAUGACAAAUUUUUUAAAAAUCAUUUUCUAUAUUUUCCUUUUUAUUAUUUUAUAAUCAUCAAUAUAUUUGUUCUAUUUUUAGAAACAAAAAUAAAACUAGAAUUAGGGAAGAUAAUAAAUAUUUUUUAAAGUUAAAAAAUGUAAUUAAAAAUUUAUUUAUACAAUCUACUUUUAAAAAUAGUACAAAUAGAUGUAUAAAUACAUAUUUCUUCUCCUUUCUCUUUUUUGGUAUUUUCUUUCUCUUUUUUAUUUAAUUGUUCUAUUCAAUAGAUUUCACUAAUUAUUAAUUAUUUAUUUAUUAAGUAGUAAUUGGUCCACUUCUCUCUCAUAUUUGGAUUAACUAAUUAAUUUGAUUUCCAUUGUAAGGGGACCCAACUAGUGGCAUUUCAAACAUGAAUCAAUGUCAAAUACUAAUGUUGAUAAAGACCAGGUAUCUACCAUAUCAAAGUGGUAGAAGAAUCACAAGGCCCUAUUACCUUUGUCAAGAUAUAUGUGUUGGCCGUACCAUAUUUGUUAAGAUGUAUGUGUUAAUAUCCCUGAAGCUUUAUCAUACAAAUUAAAAUAGUAAGUGGAAAUAUAUCAUAACACGACAAUUGUUUUUCUAUCAACGAUUGUUGUUUUGGAGAUGAGUAGUCCCUUUCAACUUAGAUUCACAAUCAUAGAUAUUUUGUAUAGCUUAUGUUUAUAUUUGAAAAUAUUUUAUUAAGAUAUAUAUAUAUAUAUAUAUAUAUUUAAUGAUUAAACAAAAGUAAAGGUAUCAAUUUGUUUUUCAUUCCUAAUUUAUUCAAUGUUAUUUUAAAACUCGAAAUUCACUCGUAUCUUUUUUUUUUAUUAAAUCAAAAUCAUCAAUAUCUCUAGCGUAACCAUUGGAAAAAUCAUGGAAACCUAUUGAAAAAUCAUUAAAAAAAUCUAUUAAUUGUGAUAAAGACCGGGUAUCCACUAUAUCAAAGUGGUAGAAGUAUCUUAAGGCCCUAUCACCUUUGUCAAGAUAUAUGUGUUGGCCCUACCACCUUUGUCAAGAUGUAUGUGUUAAUAUUCUCAAAACUUUAUCAUACAAAUUAAACAAUAAGUGGAAAUAUAUCAUAACAUAACAAUUGUUUUUUUGACAACAAUUGUUUUCUUUGUUAGAUGAGUAGUCCAUUUCAACAUAGGUUCACAAUCAUAGAUAUUUUUGUAUAACUUAUUUCUAUAUUCAAAGAUAUUUUAUGUCCAAUAUUGGUUAUAACUUUUUGGUAAUAUAUAAUAUAAAUCAAUAUCAAAUAUUAAUGUAUGAAGACUGAGUAUCUACCAUGUCAAAGGUGGAAUAAGUAUCUUAAGGCCCUAUCACCUUUGUCAAGAUGUAUGUAUUGGCCCUACCGCAUUUGUGAAGAUGUAUGUAUUAAUAUCGUUGAAGCUUUAUCAUAUAAACUAAAACAACAAGUGGGGAAAUAUAUCAUAACAUAAUAAUUGUUUUUUUAACAAUAAUUGUUUUUUUUGGAGAUAAGUAGUCCUUUUCAACUUAGGUUCACAAUCAUAGAUAUUUUUUUAUAGCUUAUGUCUAUAUUCAAUAAUAUUUUAUGCACAACAUUGGUUGUAAUUCAAUGUACUUUUCAACUUGAUUUCCAUCCAUUCCUUAGUGAAGAAAUAUUCUUUGAAUAUGUCCUCCUCCAAGGAUAUCACCAAAAAAUGCUCUGAAUUAGUCCAUUUUUCUUCCUCUUUUCUAUUUGAUUGGCCUAUUUGGUGGACAUUACUAAUUAUUAUUUAUUUUUGAAGUGUUAAUUGAUUCAUUUUUCUCUCAUAUUCAGACUAGCUAAUUAACUUUAUUUCCAUCCAUUCCUUAGUGAAGAAAAAUGUUUUGAAUAUGGCUUCCUCCAAGGAUAUCACCAAAAAUAUCUUUGCUAAAGAUCACUUGUGUCAAAAAAAAAAAAUGAAUACAUAUUUCUUCAUUUUUUUUUUUUAUUUAUCUCUCCCUUUUGGUAAAGAUCAUGAAAUCUCGUUACUAAAGCAAGAUCUGACAUCAUUUUAAGCUAUGGAUUUUACCCAAAAACUUAAGCUUAUAAUUCAAUCGGGUGACAAUACAUAUCAAGUCAUGAACUUGGCGUACACACACAUAAAUGCAAAGUGAUCAUUAUCUAUAUAUAUAACAUAUUACAUAACAAGUAAAUUAACCACAUAGAAAUCUUGGUUCAAGGAAUCAUCACACUAUCUUUGUUAUUUCGAAUAACAACGACAUGGAAAGCCGUUCUACUCAUGAUGCCAGUGUGAGUUGGUAAAGUGUGAGACUCAUCUAUGAUCUUUUCCACCAAGUCACCUUGUUGGAUAUGCAGAAGCGUUAAUACCCAAUUUGGUUGGAGUAAUGGGGUUGAUAGAAAGAAACACACAUGAAGAUAAAUUUAGGAAAAUUAAAAAUUUAUUAUCUUCUAUCACUCUCUUUUUGUCAUACAUUACAUAAUCUCCUAUUUAUAACUACUCACACUAAACAAAAUAGAAACUCCUAAUUCUAACAUAUAGAAACCUUCUAGGACUUAACAACUCAAAAAUAUAAACUAGUAAUUAGAACAACUACUCAAAAUAUAAUAUUCUCCUUUAACCUUUUAGAAACUAAAUUUAAUUUUAAUAUUUAGAAAGCUCCUAAUUCAAGUUUACUUUCCAACAUACCCCCUUAAACUUGAUUUGUGACUCUAAAUAACAUCCUCAACUCUAAAAAAUCAUCAAACUUGAGAGACUUGGUUAAAAUAUCCACAAUUUGAUCUUGAGAUUUUGCAAAUUUUAAUUGCAAUUCUUUUUUCGUUUAUCAACUAAAAAUGGGCCAAAUUUAGGGGUCAAGUUACUUAUGUGGAAGGUAUGAGAAUAACCCUUAGACACAUCUAAACAUGUUACUUAACGGUCUCUAAUAAAUAAUAAGAGAGACUUUAACAUUUAAUUAGUUAAUCAAUGUAUACAAAAGAAAUCAAGAAACUUGAUAUCUCACAUAUAAAGAUUAGAAAGUGGUUAAAACUGAUAAUGAAAGAAUCAUUAAAUUUUUUUCUUUUUAUUAUUUAUAAUCAACAAUAUAUUUUUCUAUUUUAUAUUUUUAAAAACAAAAAUAAAACUAGAAUUAAGGAAGAUAUUAAAUAUUUUUUAAAGUUAAAAAAUAUAAUUAAAAAUUUAUUUAUAUAUUCUACUUUUAAAAAUAGUACAAAUCGACGUAUGAAUACAUAUUUCUUCUCAUUUUUCCUUUUUGGUAUUUUCUUCUUCUUUUCUAUUUGCUUGGUUUAUUCAAUGGAUUUCACUAAUUAUUAUUUAUUUUUUUAAGUAGUAAUUGGUCCUCUUUUCUCUCAUAUUUGGAUUAGCUAAUUCACUUGAUUUUCAUCACAAGGACUUAACCCGUGGCAUUUCAAUUAUAAAUCAAUAUCAAAUAUUAAUAUUGAUAAAGACCGGGGAUAUGUCAUAUCAAAGUAGUAGAAGUAUUUUAAGACCCAACCACCUUUGUCAAGAUAUAUAUAUUAAUACCCUUCAAGCUUUUAUCAUACGAAGUAAAACAGUAAGUGAGAGAAUAUCAUAACACAACAAUUGUUCUUCUAUAGUCCCUUUCAACUUAGGUUCACAAUCAUAUAUAUAUAUUUUGUAUAACUUAUGUCAUAUUAAAAGAUAUUUUAUGUACAAUAUUGAUUGUUAUUUUGUCGGUAAUACUGUUUUUUUGGAGAUAUCCAUCUCUUUCAACUUAGAUUCACAGCCUAGAUAUUUUGUAUAGCUUAUGUCAUAUUCAAAGAUAUUUUAUCUACAAUUUUGAUCGUUACAUAUUUUGUUGGUAAUAUAUAUAUAUAUUUCAAAAGUAAAAAGGUAUCAAUUUGUUUUUCAUUCUUAAAUUUAUUUAAUGUAAUUUUAAAACUCAAAAUUUACUCUUUUUUUUUUAAUCAAAUCAAAACAUCAAUGUCUCUUGUGCAAACAUUGGAAAAAUAAUGGAAACCUAUUUAAAAAAAUUCUACUAAUUGUGAUAUAAUUACAAAUAAAAAAUAAAAAAAAAAUCUAUUUUUGAAAAAAAAAGUGAAAAAAGAAUUUUUUUUUACAGAAAUAUUUAAUAUUUAUUUAUUUUUUGAAAUAUAUAUAAAUAAAACAUUAUUUGUAUUUUUACUUUUAAAAAUAAUACAAAACAAAAAUAUAUCUAGAUGAACCUAAGGAUAUCACCACAGUCUAAAUAUAUUCUAGUUUUGUGCGUAACCCCCCACAAAACAUUCCAAGAUGAUAUUAUUUUAUUAGAAAAGUAUCUUGAAGUCAUUACUAACUUUUGCUAUUCACGUAUGUCCAUAUCCAACUCAAGAUUUGUAUUAAAGAACAAGUCUCUCAAAUACUUUGUUGUAGUUGAUUAAUUAUUGGAUGCACCAUAAGAUUAAUAAGACACUUUGAGAUGAUGUAUAUUCUGGUGUGAUUUUAGAGGAGUGUUGUCUUUUAUAUUAGUUCCCUUCCAUAAGCAAACUCUAAGUCUUCCUUGAUAAAAAACCUUACAACAUUAAGGUGAUUUAUUUUUUAGAGGAGUGUGUAGGGACCCCUCCCUCUGAUAGCACGUGGCACACAUCUCCUGAUGACGCGUGACACACAUUCUCAUCCGGAUCAACCUCAUCCGGAUUUUCCUAAGAGUACACGUGGCGCGCUUCUCCUAUCCGGACUACUUUGAGGAGAGGCACACGACACUCACAAACAUAACAUCCAGACAACUUCCACAACGCAUCCGGACGACCGACAUAUGCUAUCCGGAUACGUUUGUCUGGAUCAUUGACUGAAGUAAGCAAGUCUUACACGUUAUCACAACAACCUGCCAUGGCCCACGUUCCGCCACCUACAGAGUGAAAGGACAAGAAUGAAGUGACGGCAAGUCACUUCCCACGAUCACUUCCCAUGAUCACCUACCAUGAUCUCUGUCAGCCACCCGUAGGGUGAUGAUGACCCUGCCACCACCUAGUGUCAUCAUGACAACACAAAAUAUUUCCCUACCAUUAAAGAGGGAAACAAAGCCUCUGAUACUAUAUAUAUGAACCUUCAUACAAAGAGGAAGGUAAGCUCGCUAUACCUAGUAAAAGGUCAACUGAUUUAUCUUUCUCUCUAACCAUGGCUGACAAAACCAUCGGAAGGUACGUCCGGACACCCUGUCUGGACGCCUUUUGCAGGUAGUACAACUGAAUCAAGAAUCUAUAUUAGUUGAGAUCGUGCAUCUAUCCAUUUGGCAACUACGUGGAUCACCAAGGACACGAGGCCUCAACAUUGGCGCCGUCUGUGGAAAAUUUUUCGCUGAUUCAGUCACUAGCAAAGAUGGCCACACCUUCUCAAAGCCGUUCAUCUGGUAAAAGAGAGGAAGAUAACUCUGAAUGGCGCCGAGCCAUCGAAAGAAGACAGUUGGCAAGCGAACGACAACUGAAAGCUCUCCUCCAGGAGACAGAAAGAUUAAGAGAAGAAAACGCGGUAUUACGCAUCCAGGCUUCAACAUCAGGGCCUCCUCAUCGCUAGCAUUCAAGAGGCCAAGUAGCAAACUCAAGGCCAAAACCAGAGUCAAUAUAUCCUGGGACAGUUGGAGCUCUCCUAGAAACAGGCAACGUGAGGCCACAUGAGCCACACACGCCCAUACCUCGAGCUCCUCAUGAGGAAAGCUCGGACUCUACUCAUUUUUCAGCAAAAAGGCAACGCGAUAGAAAAUCCCAGUUGUCAAAUUCAAUGCGCGCGAGACUAGGCCCACAAGAGCCUGGAAAACCAAGGCCACCAGUAGCCACAACCUGGGCAGCACGCCCUGACCCUAUGGUCACCCCCAUGGUGCAGAACGUGCUCCUGCACCGUGACCCUAUGGUCACCCCCAUGGUGCGGAACGUUCACUCGCACCUAGCGGUACGACAAGAUGGGAGAAACCUCCCAAACGAGCCACCCAUUGGCUCCAUCAGCAAAAGGCUGGACGACAUGCUCUCCACGCCUUUCUACUCUCAUAUCAUCCAUUACGAGCCCCCAAGGGGAUUCCUCGUACCAAAAUUUUCCACAUACGAUGGGUCCAAUGACCCCUUUGAUCAUAUCAUGCAUUAUCGACAGCUCAUGACGCUCGAUAUUGGCAACGACGCGCUACGAUGCAAAGUAUUCCCCGCCAGCCUACAAGGGCAGGCCCUCUCAUGGUUUCAUCACCUACCUCCCAACUCUGUUGACAAUUUCAGGGACCUGUCCGAAGCCUUUGUGGGGCAAUACUUGUGCUCCGCUCGACACAAGCAGAAUAUCAGCACUCUGCAAAACAUAAAAAUGCGAGAUAAUGAAUCCUUAAGGGAGUUCGUAAAGCGGUUUGGUCAAGCCGUACUUCAGGUAGAGGCUUGCAGGAUGGAUGCUGUCCUGCAGAUCUUCAAACGAAGCAUCUAUCCAGGCACCCCAUUUUUCGAAUCGCUAGCUAAAAAGCCUCCUACAACGAUGGACGACUUGUUCAGACGUGCAAACAAAUACUCAAUGCUCGAAGAUGAUGUACGAGCAGCCACCCAGCAAGUCUUAGUUGCUGGACAAGCAUCUAGAAGUGGCAUGGAAAGAAGUGCCAAACUUCUGGACCGGCCAAGGCCGUCCGACCGAAGACAGGAGGGGCCAAGUCACCCGGAAAGGCAACCCCUCACGCUUCUUUCCAUAUCAUAUGAAAAACUUCUCCCUAUGAUCCAAGGCUUGUCCGACUUCAGGUGGCCUAGACCCCAAGGAACGGACCCAUCCAAAAGAGAUCAUAGCAAGAGGUGUGUCUUCCACAAGGAACAUGGUCACACAACAGAGACAUGCAGGUGCCUCCAGUAUCUGGUCGAGAGGCUCAUCAAGGUAGGACAUUUAAAGCAAUACCUCCGCUCAGAUACUGGAGGAAGAGACGCUUCCCAAAAUCACAACUCUAGAGCCCCUAGGGCCCCAGCCGCCACCAAGGCCGUUAUAAACUAUAUUAACGGAGGCCCAUCUAACGAGGAGUAUGACUCCAAAUGAAAGAGGCAAAAGUUGUUGCGGGCUGCAUCAGUACGCGAACGUAUCAACUCCAUCCGGCCUGGAUUAACUGGAGGGGGCUCUUGCCCCAUAGAUGGGACAAUCAUUUUCCCACCGGUAGACCCCACCCGGACACUGCAGCCACACCGCGACGCCCUCAUCCUAUCCCUAGAGAUAGGAGACUUCGACGUGAGACGCAUUUUGGUUGACCCAGGCAGCUCGACCAAUCUUGUGCAAGCAUCGAUCGUUACCCACAUGGGGCACAGUCUCACGAGCCUUGAAAACCCUGGGCGAAUCCUAUCCGGAUUCAACGGGUCAUCAACUACGUCCUUGGAAGACAUUGUACUGCCGGUCCAAGCUGGCCCAGUCACUCUCAACGUACAAUUUUCGGUGGUACAAGAUUUAUCACCCUUCAAUAUCAUCUUAGGGCGCAUAUGGCUACACUACAUGAAAGUCAUCCCCUCUACAUAUCACCAAAUGGUAAGUUUCCUUACCAAGGAUGGGCAAAUUGAUCUAUAUGGCAGUCAGUUAGCCGCUCGCCAAUGCUACCAAAUAGCACGAGAAAUAGGGACCAGCCAGGAGGAUGCAUCCCUCCCUGAGUCCGGCAAUGCACAUAAUCAAUAGCUAUUAUUGGGUCCGGUGGACAAAGAUCCCCCGACAGCAGAUCCCUUGCAAACAAUCCAAAUUUCGGAAGAAGGAACUCACCUUACGAAUAUCAGUUCCCUUCUGACACCGGAAGAGACCCAGAACAUGCAAAACUCCCUCAGACAAAACCAUGACAUCUUCGCAUAGGCACAUUCUGAUAUGAAGGGAAUUCAUCCCUCCAUUACUUCUCAUAAGCUUAACGUCUUGCCAACAACCAGACCCAUCCGGCAGAAGGUUAGGCGUUUUCACCCGGACAGACAGAAAAUUAUCCGGAGUGAGAUUGACAAAUUGCUAGAAGUCGGAUUCAUUAGAGAAGUCGAUUACUCGGACUGGUUGGCAAAUGUAGUAGUGGUACCCAAAAAAGAAGGCAAAUGGCGUGUGUGCGUCGACUACACCAACCUCAAUAAUGCAUGCCCAAAAGACAGUUUUCCUUUGCCACGAAUAGAUCAGAUUGUGGAUUCCACUACUGGGCAAGGGAUGCUCUCUUUCCUGCACGCUUUCUCCGGAUAUCACCAAAUUCCUAUGUCCCCGGCUAACGAAGAAAAAACAGCAUUCAUAACGCCACACGGUCUCUAUUGCUACAAGGUCAUGCCAUUCGGACUCAAAAAUGCAGGCGCCACUUAUUAGAGACUGAUGACAAAGAUCUUCAAACCUCUGAUAGGCCACACGGUAGAGAUAUAUAUUGAUGAUAUCGUGGUUAAAAGCAAAACCCAAGAGGAGCAUGUCCUCCACUUGCAAGAAGUUUUUCACCUUUUGAGGAAGUAUGACAUGAAGCUAAAUCCUUUUAAAUGCGCCUUUGGCGUAAGUGCUGGCAAAUUUCUGGGAUUUAUGGUCAGCCAAAGAGGGAUAGAGGUUAGCCCGGAUCAAGUCAAGGCAGUCAUGGAAACACCUCCCCCCAAGAGCAAGAAAGAGUUACAACGCCUCACAGGCAAACUCGUCGCACUAGGGCGUUUUAUAGCCCGCUUCAUUGAUGAAUUGCGACCCUUCUUCUUGGCAAUACGAAAAGCUGGAGCAAACGGAUGGACAGACAGCUGUCAGAACGCUUUUGAAAAUAUCAAACACUGCCUUAUGCAGCCGCCCAUCCUAAGCAGUCCCAUCCCUAAAGAGAAAUUGUACAUGUAUCUGGCUGUAUCAGAGUGGGCAAUUAGUGCUGUUCUAUUCCGCUGCCCCUCACCCAAGGAGUAGAAACCUAUUUACUACGUCAGUAGAGCGUUGGCGGACGUAGAAACCAGGUAUUCAAAAAUGGAGCUAACAGCCUUAGCCCUUCGGAGCGCCGCCCAGAAGCUCCGCCCCUAUUACUCGGUGGUCGUGUUAACUGACCAACCCCUCUGUAACAUUCUCCACAAGCCAGACUUAACCGGAAGAAUGCUUCAAUGGGCCAUCGAAUUGAGCGAAUUUGGAAUCGAGUUCCAACCCAGAUUGUCCAUGAAAGGCCAAGUAAUGGCUGACUUCGUACUGGAAUACUCUCAAAGGCCCAGCCAACGCCAGGAACCAAAUGAAGAAAAAUGGUGGACUUUGCGGGUCGAUGGAGCCUCACGAUCAUUAGGGUCCGGAGUUGGGCUUCUGCUACAGCCCCCAAUAGGGGAACAUCUGGAGCAAGCCAUCCGGUCGGGAUUCCCCGCCUCCAACAAUGAAGCAGAAUACGAAGCCAUCCUAUCCGGAUUGGACCUCGCCCUGGCUCUAUCCGUCUCCAAGCUCCGUGUUUAUAGCGAUUCUCAACUUGUGGUCAGGCACGUCCAGAAGGAAUAUGAAGCUAAAUAUGAGCGCAUGGCGCGAUACCUGGCUAAAGUAAGGGACACCUUGCAACAAUUCACCGAGUGGACAAUCGAAAAAAUCAGACGAAUUGAAAAUGGACGUGCCGACGCCCUAGCAGGCAUAGCUGUCUCCCUCCCCAUCAAAGAACCCAUAUUGUUGCCUAUACAUGUGCAAGCCAACUCUUCCGUCGCGGAAACCUCCAUUUGCAAUACCAUUGAGGCAAGCCAAGCAGAUAGCCAAGAAUGGACGAACGACAUUAUAGGGUACCUCCGGACAGGCGCUCUGCCCGGAGAUCCCAAACAGGCACACAAAAUCCGAGUGCGAGCUGCCCGUUUCACCUUGAUUGGGGGGCACUUGUACAAGCGAUCCUUCACAGGUCCCUAUCUCCGGUGCCUAAACCAUUCAGAAGCCCUAUAUGUGUUAGCAGAAUUGCACGAGGGAGUAUGUGGAAAUCAUUCUGGAGGACGAUCUCUAGCGCACAGGGCCCAUUCUCAAGGAUAUUAUUGGCCCACGAUGAAGAAUGAUGCGGCAGCCUACGUCAAAAAAUGCGACAAAUGUCAACGACAUGCCCCCAUACCACACAUGCCGUCGGAGACGUUGAAACCAAUUUCAGGUCCCUGGCCCUUCGUGCAGUGGGGUAUGGAUAUAAUAGGACCCUUACCAACCGCACCUGCUCAGAAGAAAUUCCUACUUGUUGCCACAGAUUACUUCAGUAAAUGGGUAGAAGCCGAAGCAUACGCUAGCAUCAAAGACAAGGAUGUCACCAAGUUCGUAUGGAAAAACAUCAUCUGCCGCUUUAGAAUCCCUCAAACCAUCAUAGCCGACAACGGUCCAUAGUUUGACAGCAUCGCAUUCCGGAAUUUAUGUUCAGAACUAAGCAUCCGGAAUACAUACUCCACACCGCGUUAUCCUCAAAGUAAUGGACAAGCAGAAGCCACAAACAAGACUCUAAUCACUGCCUUAAAGAAAAGGCUUGAGCAAGCCAAAGGAAAAUGGGUGGAGGAGUUACCCGGCGUCCUGUGGGCUUAUCGAACCACACCCGGACGGUCGAGAGGAAACACUCCCUUCGCCCUCGCAUAUGGUAUGGACGUAGUCAUUCCUACCGAAAUAGGGCUACCCACUAUCCGGACUAAGGCAGCAAAGCAGGAUGAUGCAGAUGCAGAGUUAGGAAGAAACUUGGACUGGGCAGAUGAAGUAAGGGAAAGCGUAUCCAUUCGGAUGACAGACUAUCAACAAAGGGCAUCCGCUCAUUACAAUCGCAAAGUAAGGCCCAGAAGCUUCAAAAAUGGUAUGUUGGUCCUUAGAAAAGUUUUUGAAAAUACUACUGAAACAGGAGCAGGAAAAUUUCAAGCCAACUGGGAAGGCCCCUACAUAGUAUCCAAAGCAAGUGAGAGUGGAGCUUAUCAUCUACAAAAGCUAGACGGAACUCCAUUACUCAGACCAUGGAAUGUGUCUAAUUUAAAGCAGUAUUAUCAAUAAAAGAAAGAGACAAGCACAAAUAUGAAGAAAUAUGUUUCAUUAAUAUUUGUGAAAAUUGUAUACAAAAAGUUCUCCGGACUACAAAAAUACAGAGAGAAGAUUGCAGUAAAAAUUACAAAAAGAAAAGCUCUCAUGGAGUAGGCUUGUCGAGUAGCUUCUUCUCUUCACCCGGAGGAAUUAAAGGGAUGUCCCGCUUGAUGCCAUGUUUCUUCAUACAGCAGCGAUAGCCGAAGAAGAACAUUUCAUCUACUUGCUUCUGGUAGUCCGCUUCAAGCUUCUCCCUCUCUACAGCAAACUCACCCUCCAACUCUUCUUUUUGCGCUGAUAAACGUAGCUGCAAGUCUUCUCUUUGCUUUUUCUCAAUAGAUACCUCCGUCCGGAGUUGCCUCACCUCCCCCCUCAGGUGGGCCAUCUCAUCCUCCGCCUCAUGCAGGCGGGCAUCCAUCGAUUCCUCCCGGCUCUUUGCCUUAGCUAAAUCUGCCCGGAGAGCCUCGUUGUCUCCUCGAAUGGCAGAUAAACUGGCUUCAGCCUCCUCCAGUCUCAAGCGCAACGUAUCUUCACUAUUUCUGCGCUGAGAGGUGAAGACCUUCAUGUAAUCAGCGGUCCGCAGCAAGUCAGUAAACAAGUCAUGUUGUUGGGCCAUGCCGCGAAGACCGCUCACCAGCUGCAGGUGAACACACAAAACAAGAGCAAAGUUACAAACCAUACCACAAGCACAUCAGUAUGACAAAGAAAAUGAAGAAGUAAACUAUACCGUUUCCACCACUUCGAACAUUUUUGCUGAAGGCAUGGCAAUAUCCGAGCCGGGUGGAAUCCGUUUCAGCUUCUCUUCUAACUCCGCGUAGCUGAAAGCGCUAGCAGAGAUGCAAGAUGCAUUAUCAACAGGAUUUCCCCUUGAUGAAGCAUUGGAGAAUGACCCCUCCUCCGGGUCUGGGGCCCUAUCAGUCUCGGCUGGCUGGGUCACUCCGGGUGAAACCCCAUCCGGGACCACCACCGGGGCGGGUGGGUUCUCUGCUGCCAUCUCCGCCUCGCUCUCCUCCGGAUGAUCAUCCUAGACGGACGAGCAACUGACUUCGAUGGUUUCCAAGAACCGAUCUUGAAGCCGCCCGAUGAGGCAGGACUUUAAGUUACGCGCCGAAUGCGACUUCCUUGAAACUGGCCCCUUCACCAGUACAAGGGCAAGAGGGCUUGACCUGCAAGGAGGCAAACCUUGGCUUUCUGCCCCCACUUCUUCCCUUGGGGGUGCCGAAAGAGGCGAUGCGGCCGCACAAUAAGCCCCGGCUGCAUCUGCAUCCGGAUGGGGAGAACCGGGCUGAUUUAUUGAAGUCGCCUCCUCAGCCAGCAGAGCCAGGCAUUCAGCCGCCAACAGUAAAGACCCCGAGUGGUUCAAACCCGCGAGAUGUCCGGGACCACUUGAAAUAGAGGGCAAGGGGGGAACCUCCGGCUCUCUUAUUAUUACCUCAUUCACAUAAGUUGAAGAAGGAAUUACAAACUCCUUUGGAGGAGUGGGGAGUUUCACUUCCUUCACCUUAUUUGAAACCUUCUUCUUCUUCUUUGCUGGAGCACCAGCAGGUGGAGAAGACGCGGGCCGUUUGCCACCCGGAGCCUUCCGCAAGAGCCCUUCUUUCAUUUUUACCUCCCGAUUAGUGAGGCGGGCUUUGCGUGUCCGGGCGUCUGCCUUCUGCACCGCCGCGUAGAAGGGCAGAUCUUGAAGAACGAAGUGCUCCCCAGCCACAACCUCUUCAAGCAUCCGCCUUGGGAGUAUGUUCAGCACGUACGACUGAGGCUCCCGGGUGACCGAACGGAGGUUCUACGCGGAAAGCAGCAUGUCACAACUCCGCUCGGCCGCCGCAAUCUCAAAGAGCCUGUUCAAACGAUCGAACGAGGCCUUCUCCACCCACUCCACCAAUCUCCCCCUUUUAUCCUGGCAUGCACCCAAGAAAGCAAAAGUAUGUCAGCAACCCAACAAUGCUGACCUACAUUCACAAAACAUGGAAAGACAAGAAAUAAUUUAAUCAUACCGGGGACCUUCAACGAUUGGUUGGGAGUGAAUGGCCUGUCCGGAUGCUCCGCCAAACCCGCCCAUACGCCCUUGACCAACACAUGUCCCUUCGCGGCCCCCUUGGUCGAGUCCGGCAGAUUGAUCACCAACUACAUGGACGGAAGGCAAGCAACAAAGCUGAAGAUGUCAGUCUUCAGCUUCUUGAUCGAAUAAAUAAAAAGAACCUCCAGCAUUGAGAGGUCCAAGUUGAACAGCAUGUUCAGGAUGCUGCACCCCAUCAGCACCCGGACCAUGUUAGGAUGAAUAUACGCCGGAGGAAUCUGGGUGAAGUGCAGAAACUCCUUGAACAAAGACGGCAGGGGAAACCGGAACCCAGCGUUGAACUGCUCCUUGCUAAAGAAAAUAGCAUGGUCUUCAUUGUUCUCAGUCGAUACAGCCUCCCCGUCAGUAAGUUCAACAAAUACACCGUUGGGAAUGCAGAACCGUUCGCGGAACUCCUUCGCACUCAAUUUAUCCACAGACUUUUUGGCAUGAGCAUCGCCGCAUGGGCCAGAUGAGGUCGCUUCCUGGUUCGUAGACAUUUUUUCCAGCUUCAUAAAUCUGCAUGGAAGAAGUACCAACAGUCAAAACACAACAAACUGGUCCCACAACCCUAAACGACAAAAACUCUCAGACAAACCCCACAUCGCCAGUAUCCCCAUCCCAAAACCUUGACUCUACCCCAAAGAAAAACCUCCAACCCACAAAAGACGCAGGGGGGCAACAGAAACACUAAGCACACCCAAAAACACAGUCCAUACCCCCCCUCCCUCCACCCACCGGAAAACCCUAGAAACCAAAAAACACCAAUAUCCACACACACAGUCGCAAGCAACUUGCCCAAGCAAACCAGCAACAACCGACAACGACAAAAGCAAACCAAAGGAAAAGACAAGACAAACGAACGUACCAAGUAAAAACAGGGAAAAUAGGGUUGAACAUCGCAAAUGCAGUCAUCGGUACAACGCGAAAAUCAUCGGUAGAAAAUUCUAGGGCUUCACUCAGAAAACGAAGGUACGCAGAAGGUAGAAGAAGAAACACUCUCAGAAAGAAACGCAGUAGGAAAGAUGCAAUAGAAGGCACAGUAUGCUAUUUAUAGGGCGACAACCCCUCAGUAUAUCAAACGCUCAGCUACGCCAUCAUUGAAACGACAUGCUGCCUGGGAAUACACAGAGACGACGGCUCAUCAUAAAUGCUCUUCUCUCUCUUUGCCCCCGCUCGCCACGUGGCCCAAUGAGCGCAAAAAAUAACAUCAGUUUCAAAAAACCAAUUAUUUUUAACCCGCCCAUUUUUUGCUCAGGCAAAAUAGGCAAGUUAAAAAGGGGGCAUUAUAGGGACCCCUCCCUCUGAUAGCACGUGGCACACAUCUCCUGAUGACGCGUGGCACACAUUCUCAUCCGGAUCAACUUCAUCCGGAUUUUCCUAAGAGUACACGUGGCGCGCUUCUCCUAUGUGAACUACUUCGAGGAGAGGCACACGACACUCACAAACAUAACAUCCAGACAACUUCCACAACGCAUCCGAACGACCGACAUAUGCUAUCCGGAUACGUUUGUCCGGAUCAUUGACUGAAGUAAGCAAGUCUUAGACGUUAUCACAACAACCUGCCAUAGCCCACGUUCCGCCACCUACAGAGUGAAAGGACAAGAAUGAAGUGACGGCAAGUCAUUUCCCACGAUCACUUCCCACGAUCACCUACCACGAUCUCUGUUAGCCGCCUGUAGGGUGAUGAUGAUCCCGCCACCACCUAGUGUCAUCAUGACAACACAAAAUAUCUCCCUACCAUUAAAGAGGGAAACAAAGCCUCUGAUACUAUAUAUAUGAACCUUCAUACAAAGAGGAAGGUAAGCUCGCUAUACCUAGUAAAAGGUCAACUGAUUUAUCUCUCUCUCUAACCAUGGCUAACAAAACCAUCGGAGGGUGCGUCCGGACACCCUGUCCGGACGUCUUUUGCAGGUAGUACAACUGAAUCAAGAAUCUAUAUUGGUUGAGAUCGUGCGUCUAUCCAUUUGGCAACUACGUGGAUCACCAAGGACACGAGGCCUCAACAGAGUGUUUUGGUAAAAGUGCAUGGCUCUUUCAAAGUUAUAUCCAUAUUUUCAAAGUUCCCUGUCUAAAUAGGAUUUUCUUUUUCUUUCUAUCAUGGAUAGGAAUAGCUUGUAAAGAUUUAGGAAAAUAAUUUUUUUUUUAAUAAAUUUUAAUAUAUGUUAGAUUUAAAAUAAAAAGUUAUACUCACAAGUCAUCCAUUAUUUUAUGCCUUUUGUCAAAUUUAACAAUAUUGAUGCCUUAAAUGUGAAAGUUGAAAAUUUAUCCAAAAAAAUGUUUUUUUUUUGUUAUACUGUCAAAUACCUUUUUUCCUUGUAUUAAAAAAGAGAAAAUAAACUUAGGAUUACAAAUUAUAUUUUCCAAAAAUUUUAGAAAAUAUGUAUUUCUAAUUGGGCUGUGUUGUAGUAUGUGGCUCAUAUUGAGGGAAAGACAUAUAUGGAGAAAAUGGGCAAAUAUCGGAGUGAAACAACAACAUUUGUCAUUCAAGCUUGUAUUUUUAUUGUUAAGGGCAAACGAUAGGUUGAGGGGUUUUAAUUUCAUUACAUGAAGGUUAGUAUAAAUAUCCUUUUAUGUAACUCUAAUUUGAUAUAUAGUAAAAAUCUUCUUCCUUAUUCCCAUGGACGUAGGGCAAUCCAUCGAACCACGUUAAAUCUAUGUGUUUAUUUUGUUUUUCUCUAAUUUCUUCACCAGGAAUCGUUGCAUGAAGACCAACAUGUUGUUAUGUACAAUAGUGAUGAAGGCGAACACACCUAAAGAAUCCGCUGGACCAAAUACAUCCCACUUGCCCUUUUUUUUUUUUUCCAAUGCUUUAAAUAUCAAUUUGUUGGGCAAUUAAAAAUUUCUUUCAAGUAAUUUUAAAACUUACAAGUCAUCCAUAUUUAUUGUUUUUUAUAACCAAAUCAAGAAACUUGGUAUCUUUCAUGCAAAGAUUACAAAGUGGUCAAAACCCAUUAAAAUUAAAAAAAAAAAAUCAUUAAUUUUUUAAUUUUUAAUAUUAUAUAAUUAUCAAUACAUAUUUUUAUUUUAAAAACAAAAAUAAAAUUAGAUUUAACUAAGAAAGAUAUUAAUAUUUAUAAAAUUAAAAAAUGUAAUUAAAAAUUUAUUUACAUACUUUUAAAAAUAGUAAAAAUAGAAUUAUGAAUACAUCUCUUCUCAUUUUUGGUAAAAAUAACUAGUAUUAAGGAAAUUAUGAAUACAUGUUUCUUCCUCUUUUCCUCUUUUAUUGUUUUCUUCCUCUUUUCUAUUUGAUUUGCCUAUUGGUGAAUGUCACUAAUUAUAAUUCAUUUCUUAAGUUGUAAUUGGUUCAUUUCUUAAAAUUUUCCGCCAAAUUGAUGGAAAACGUCAGGCCAAAAGUAUAUAUACUUUAUCACCAUUCUUUAUAAAAGAAAAAGAAAUUCUUAACCAAAAAAAAAAAAAAAACCAUGGUUUAAUAUUAAUAGUCUAACAAAAAUAUUAGGAGCUAAAUUAGGACAUAAAUAAAAAUAUAAAUCAAAUUGGAAAACAAAAAUUAGCGCCCUUAGGUCAUUUUUUUUUUGUACUUAAUUUAAAAAAAAUAAUAAUUAAAGAACUUUUUUUUUAAAAUUUUUUUUUAUAAUCUUAGAGUGUUUGGUAAGUUAUUUUUUAAAAAUAGUUUUAAAAAUAAAAAAUAAAACUUGUUUAGAUAAGUUGCUUUCAAAAAUAAUUUCUUUAUUUUGAUUUUGUAAAAACACUAUAAAUUUAAUUUAUAUAAUAUCAUAGUGUCAUGCACGACAUGGAGACUCUUGGAUCUUGGUCCACUAGGCGUACAACUGAAUCAUUGCAUUUGAAAAAAUGAAAUGAAUAUAAAACGUCCACUAGGCGUACAACUGAAUCAUUGCAUUUGAAAAAAUGAAAUGAAUAUAAAACGUCCACUAGAGGAAAGUGACUUGGGACCACAGCAUUGUGGAGGCAUUCGCACCCUGUUCCCUUUGCUGUAGUAAUAUAAGACGCAGAGGCGGUGGAUUAUGGUGUUGUGAAAGAUUUGAGAGAGGUGGAGACGGCUGUAGAGCUUAAGCACACCCAUGGAUCCAUCCACAUCCACUUCCACUUCCAACCAUGCUUUAGAAUUACAGAACCUUAACUCAGUUUCUAGUGCGAACCAGGAGGAUGUCACAUACAUGCCUCCUAAAAUUUACAGGGCUGCAGCACAAGGCUCCACCGAUAUUAUCCGCAGGAGAAUGCCCAGAGCUGUCCAUUAUUUAACACCCAAUAAGAACACUAUCCUCCACAUUGCAGCCCAAUUCGGUCAACCGAAGUGCGUUGAAUGGAUCAUUCGACAUUACAGUGGGGAUUCAUCCCCACUGCAGUGGCCCAAUCUGAAAGGGGACUCCCCCCUCCACCUUGCGGCGAGAGAAGGGCAUCUAGAGGUCGUGAAGACUAUUAUUCAUGCUGCGAAAACAGUUUCCGAAAGAGAUAUUGAGAGUGGGAUUGGAGUGGAUAAGGCCAUGCUGAGGAUGGCCAACAAUGAGCAUGACACAGCCUUGCAUGAGGCAGUCCAGUAUCAUCAUCCGGAGGUGGUGAAGUGGUUGAUCGAGGAAGAUCCCGAGUUUACAUAUGGUGCUAACUUUUCUGGUGGGACUCCUCUAUACAUGGCUGCUGAGAGAGGGUUUAGAGACUUGGUGAAAAUAAUCAUAGAGAACACUAAUCGCGAUCGACUGGCUCACACUGGCCCCAUGGGUAGAACAGCUUUGCACGCAGCUGUGAUUUGCCGUGACCCAAGUAGGCAUAUUCUUUUCCUGAAUCUACCAUAUUUCCUAUGUGGUUUAUUCAUUAAUAUUACAGGUAUAACAUAUAUAGUGUUGAAUAACAAGUUUUAACCUAGCUAAACUAUGGGGUUACAAUUUCUUCAUAACUUCUAAUCUUUCUCAAAAAAUAUUUUGAUAAAUUUGUUUGAGUAUAUAUAUAUAUAUAUAUAUAUAUAUAUAUAUAUAUAUAUAUAUAUAUAUGCUUGGUGGUUGAUUGUUUCAGCUGUUUAAAUGUUAUAUUCCAAAUAGUUGAGUUACUUUUUAACCUGACAUGCAUGAUUAAAUAUGAGAAGACUAAAGAAAACUUGUUUCUUAAUUUCUUAUACUCUUCUAAUUUUUUUCUUUCUUUUCAUUUUAUGUAUGUGUUGAUCAGUAAUGGUAAAAGAAAUUCUGAGAUGGAAGUCAGAUCUAAGAAAAGAAGUGGAUGAAAAUGGGUGGUCUCCACUUCACUGCGCUGCAUACUUGGGUUAUGUUCCAAUAGCGAGGCAAUUGCUUCAUAAAUCUGAUAAUUCUGUAGUCUACCUAAGGGUCAAAAACUAUGACAACAAGACAGCUCUUCAUAUUGCAGCCACCCGUGGAAACAAGCUCAUAGCAAAACUGUUGAUGUCACGCUAUCCAGAUUGUUGUGAGCAAGUGGAUGUUAAUGGAAAUAAUGUUGUUCACUUAUUCAUGAUGCAAAGAAGAUGUUUCAGAAGCUUCAUAAAGAUUCCCUGGAUGAAUGUGAGAGCACUUAUAAAUGAGAAGAAUGUUGAAGGACAAACACCUCUCCAUCUGCUCGCCCAUUCCCAGCUGAGAUGUCGUUCUUUCAUAUUGAAAAAGGAAGUGGAUAAGAUGGCACUUAACAACCAAAACUCAACUGCUUUGGACGUAAUUUUACUGGCCGAGGAUUUAUUUGGAAAAAAGGUAAGCAUGUCUGUCUAACUUUAUUAAUUUCCCAAAUAGCAAGGAAAUGGUGAUCUGCUCCAUUAAUUGAAGCCAAGGUACUGUAUACUCUGUUUUCUCUGAUUAAAUUUCAGGAUUUUAUCAUAUCAACACUGAAAAGGGCCAAAGCUAGAGUCGGGCCUUUGUUUUGGCAGAAGGCUAUGAGGAAAGACAAGGACAAGAAAAACGAGGACAAGAAAGACGAGGACAUGAGCCAAAGCAAACGUAGUAAAGGUUUAGACACCUCUUUCUUAAGGGAAGCAGGUCAGAGCCAUUUGAUUGUGGCCGCACUUGUCGCGACUGUAUCGUUCGCAGCAGGUUUUACACUGCCCGGCGGUUAUAAGGAUGGUGACGGCAUGGCCAUUUUAAGCAACAAUCCAGCUUUUAAAGCAUUUGUUGUGUCUGAUUCCCUGGCUCUGGUGCUCUCUGUGACUGCUGUAUUGUUUUCUUUUUAUACUGCAUUGGCUAAAACAAAGAAGCGAGUCAAUUUAUUUGUAAGGCCGGCGUAUUGGCUCACCAAGUUGGGUGUAGGAGCAAUGGUGGUAGCAUUCUUUACCGGCUUAUACACCGUACUGCCGCAUCACUCAGGGAUUGCAAUUUCUACUUUUAUCAUCUGCAUCUGCUGUUCAGUUUUCAGCAUAAUCUCUGGUUCGGUACCCCAAAGGUGGAUCACAAAAUGUACUAAAUUUAGGUCACGUUGAGAAUCUCACAAUCAUAUAUGUGUUUGAUAUAUACAAAGAAUAUUGGAUGAGGAAAUUAUCAGUAAAUCAGAAUCGUGUGUUAACAUUUAUAUAACUAAUUUUAAUUAUAUUUUAUUUUCUUUGAUAUUUUUAAUAGUACUACAACCAAACAUUAAAAAUAAUAACCUUUUUUAACAUUUUUUUCAUAAUGCUUUUGAAGAAUCAAACAUAACCUUAAUGUUAAAAUUGAAUAGAAUAUAAUUAUUUUGUAUCCGUAAAAACUUGCUACUUUGACAAACUAGAGAUAAUUUUUAUGUUAUCAACAAUUGUGAAGUUGGGUCAAUUUAAAGCUAAAUCAAUUUCCCAAACAUCAACAAAUAAAAACAAAAUUAAAUAGUCAAAUAUCUUAUUUUUCUAGAGUUGGAAGUACAUCUAAACACUGCAAUUGUUUUUCUAGAGGUAAGUAGUUCCUUUCAAUUUAAGUCCAAUUUCAAAGAUAUUUUCUAUAGCUCUACAUUUCACAUUCUAUAUAUUUUGUGAGCAAUUCUCUUCAAGCUUUUGCCCAUGAUUUAAAGAUAUUUUAUGUAGAGCAUAUGUGGAAGGGAAAGUUGUUUGCACGUAUAUAUUUUUCCGUGUCUUUCUUGUGAAGUUUUUCUGUCUUUUUAGACAUCUCCCAUUUUUAUUUACUUGAUGAGAUUUUUAUCCAAUCACACUCCCGCCUCAAUAAUUUGGCUAUAUUAAACCCAUUUAACACCAUUUUAUUAUUUAUUUUUCUAAAUUGUAAUGCUUCAUAUUUCUCUCAUAUUUGAACCAACCAAUCAGCUUCGUUUCACGCUCAUUCCUUGAUUCACCCAUUUGAUAAGUGACUUUCAAUCAUAAAUCAAUAUAGAAUAUUAAUAAUAAGAAAGGUCAGUCGAUACCUACCAUAUCAAAGGGUGGAUGUGUGUUAAAUUCCUUCCAGCGUUAUUAUAAGAAGCUGUCUAGAGAUGAGUCGUUGCUUUCAAAUCAUGUCCAUAUUUCUGAGAUAUUUUAUGUAACUUAAGUCCAUAUUCAAAGAUAUUUUAAGUAAAACAUGGGUGUAGAGGAAAGUUACUUACUCAAAUACCAUAUUCUCUUCUAUGGAUAAGAUAAUGUUUGGUUCUAAUUUCAUAUGUAGUAUAAUUUUAAUUCUUAAUUUUAAGAAAAUAAUAAAAAUAAAAAUAAACAGUAAAUAAAAGAUUCAUUCCCAAAUUUGUUUAAAGUGAUUUUAAAUAUCACAACUCAUUCUCAUUAUAUUUAUAAUGCAAUCAAGUAACUUGCUGUCUCACAUGUAAAGAUUAAAAUGUGGUCAAAACUUAUCAAAAGAAUCAUUAAAUAUUUUUCUAUUUAUUGUUAUAUAAUCAUCAUUAUAUUUUUGUGUAUUUUUAAAAACAAAAAUAAAACUAGUUUUAAGAAAAAUAUUAAGUAUUUUUAAAAGCUAAAAUUCAAUUGAAAAUUUAUUUAUAUAUUCUACUUUUGAAAAUAGUGAAAACCAAAGCAUAUUUAAAUGCAUUUUUUUUCCUCUUUUAUAUCUUUUGUGCACAUAUUGACUUUUCACAAGAAAAUGGACAAAGCAGCUAUGGGAAUAAAAAAAUAGAAAAUGUUUAUGGUAUCAAAACCUAGUUAUGUUUUUUAUAAAAGGAAGAAAAAAAUGAAUGAAUUAUAUAUAUAUAUUAAGGAUCAAUGUGAGGUAAAAUCCCAAGGAUAUUACCAAAAAUAUUUUGGUAAAGAUCACCGGAGUCAAGGAAAUAAUGAGCACAUAUUUAUUAUUAUUAUUAUUAUUAUUAUUAUUAUUAUUAUUAUUAUUAUUAUUUUCAUAUUUUGUUUCUAUUUUCUAUUUGAUUGGCUUAUUUGGUGAUGUUACUAAACAUUUUUUUAUGAGGUAGUUGGUUAGUUUUUCUUUCAUAUUUGGACUCACUAAUUAACUUUAUUUUCAUCCAUUCCUUAAUGAAGAAAAAUGCUUUGAAUAUGUCCUUCUCUAUGGACAUCACCAAAAUUUUCUGGUAAAGAGCACUAGUGCGAAGGAAAUUAUGAAUAUAUAUUCGUUGCCACCGACACACCCCCCACUUCCCUUAUUCCUUUCGGUAUUUUCUUCUUCUUUUUAUUUUAUUGGCCUAUCUAUAGGACGCUACUAAUUAUUGUUUAUUUUUUAAGUCGUAAUUAGUCCUUGUUUCUCUCAUAUUUGAACUAGCUAAUUAACUUGAUUUUCAUUCAUUCCUUAGUGAAGAAAAAUGUGAAUUAGUCCAUUUUUCCUCCCUUUGAUUAAUGGUCCAUUUGGAGGACAUUACAAAUUAUUAUUUAUUUUUUAAGCGGUAAUUGGUCCAUUUUUCUCUCAUAUUUAGACUAACUAAUUAACUUGGUUUCCAUCCAUUACUUAGCAAAGAAAAAUGCUUUGAAUUUGUCCUCCUCCACGAAUAUCUCAAAAAAUAAUUUGGCAAAGAUGACCAAUAUCAAGGAAAUUAUGAAUAUAUAUUUUUUCCUUUUUUAUUUAUUUAUUUUGCAAUUCUCUUCCUUUGUUCUAUUUGACUAACCUAUUUGGUGGACGUUACUAGUUAUUAUUUAUUUUUUAAGUGAUAAUUAGUGUUUUUUUUCUCUCAUUUGGAUUAGUUGAUUAACUAGAUUUCAAUCCACUCCUUAGUGAAUUGGCAUUUGAAACAUAAGUCUAUAUCAAAUGUUAAUAAUCAUAAAGACUGAUCUACCAUAUCAAAUUGGUAGAUUGGCCCUAAAACCCAACUAGCUCAAUCAAGAUAUGUGACAUCCCACAUCGGAUAGGGGAGAAAGUUCUUGGUGCUAUAUAAGUAUGGACUUCUCGUAACCCUAUAGACACUUUUUAAAGUCGUGAGGAUUCCUUUGGAUUCAAAGUAGACAAUAUCUAAACGGUUAGGAGUGGGUCAUUACAAAUGGUAUCAAAGUCGAUCCCCGACCUCGGUGUGGGGUUUGUUUGGCUCCAUAAGGGUGUUUGUCUGUUUGGGUCCACAAUCCUGUGGGACACAACGAGGACAUUGUGUCUGCAUGGGGGGGUGUUUGUGACAUCCCACAUCAGAUAGAGGGGGAAAGCUCCUGGUGUUAUAUAAGUAUGACUCCUCGUAACCCUGUAGACGCGUUUUAAAGUCGUGAGGGUUCCUUUGGGUUCAAAGCGGACAAUAUCUACACAGUUGGGAAUGAGUCCUUAUUUUAUUUUCCCAUGUGUGAUGAUGAUGUGCUCUCAUCCCAGUAUUUCAAGUCGAGCAUGUCAAUCCCUUCAUUCCACCGCUAGGUUUUGAUCCAGGAGUCUUAGUUUGGGAGAUCCAUUCGAGUUUGGGGUUUGAGAGUCACUUGUUAGAUUGUGCUGGUGUAGCCUUCAGCUUACUUGGUUUGUGGCGUCAUUGUUAAAAAAAAAAAAAAAAAAAAAAAAAGAAUAAGCUUGUUCCCUGUUCACUUCAUUGAUGUUUGAGUUAACCUUGUUAGCCUUUAGUAUCACGGCUCAGUCAUCAAAUGUCGUUUUACGUAAAAGGAAUUUUAUUUUUCUUUUGAGAGUGAGUGAGAGCAUUGUAUGAUCUAUUUUUGCAUGGUUCUGGGAGAUACGUUGGGAGUGAGGAUUGGGUUUCCUUAGUGUUGGGUCCCCUGGAUCAUUAUCUACAUCACCAUUCUCAUCCUACUGUGGCCUGCUUCGACCUGUCAUUAUUGGGGUGAGUUGUUCAUGGUUAUCACACAUUGCCAUGUUUUCUAUCCCGGUUAUUUUCACUAUUUUCCUCUGCACUCCUUCAUCAUUUGUCUCAUCCCUUUGUGUUUUUCUUCUGCCCUCGUUAAUCGUCGUUUUACUUCUUGAACGGCGUGCCCUCUAGUGUUUAUAACUUGUCAUUUUGCAUUGUUCAUUUGUAUAUAGAUUGAGUCACUAGGCUCACACGAUUUUCCGGUAACUGACAUUGCGCACUCAAAGGCUUGGUAUUAUCUUUUGGCUAUUUGAGCCUUGUUUCCCCAUUGUUUCAUUCACCUUUUACCCUGACCUUCAUUAUGGUCUAAGUCGUAAGACCACCCUGAGGCCACGAGAUCUCAUGUUCGCUUCGACAUAUUUCAUUUAGACAGGCUCCGUCUACUAGUUGAAGUACGGGAUAUCGGUCAACCUCCAUUUCUUGAGGAUAUCGAGGAAUUGCAUAAUGCUUUCUCCAUUCGAUCUUCUCGCCCCUAGGCCAUGAUCAGAGACAGAUGAUGUAGAGAGUUGGGACUAUCGAGGACACCUUUGCUUAUUGCUUUGACAUGUUCAUACUGGGGCAUACCCCCUUACCCUUGCAUGAUGACAUCAGUUCUUACAUGUACACAUACGAUCCCUCUCACCUAAAGAGGUUUAGCAUCGGUGUUUGGGACGCACUCCACAUUCAGCCUGGAUUCUUCAUAUAGCAGAGUGCUUCCGUGGCUUGCCCGAGAUCAAAUUCAUCCAUAUUCAUUGACAUAACAGGAGUGUACACUAGGGCAUAUCCUAUGCAUUGUCAUGUUCGCGUGUUCAGACGGAUGAUGGUCUUUGGAGAUGCAUUUUCAUAGUUGGUUCACCAGAAAAUACAUAUGACAGGUGUACAUCCAGGGGCAUUCCCCUUAACAGCUCUGUGGACACCAGAUGUUGUGAAAAAUAGUGCAUGAUUUGUUAUGGAUGAUUAUAUGUGAUGCUUUCAGCUCUUUGAUUUUAACCGCAUGUGCAAUUACGGGAUUUUGACAUGGUAUAGAUAUCCUAGACUGGGGAAUAUCCCCCCCUUUUCGACAUGGUAUUGAUAUCCUAGACUGAAGCAUACCCCCUUCUCUUUCCACCUCCCGUUGAUCCCUGAUGUUUGUGUAUCAUCUUGCAAUGGCACUCCCCCUUAUUUCAACGUGAUUUAGGUGUUUGAUUACUUACUUAUUCGAGUCAUUUAUUAGUAUUUCCUAGAAGUCAUACUAGGGCAUACCCUCUCUCUCUUUGAGUUAUUUGCUCCCCUAUCUUUUUGGCAGCUCUCCAGCAUCAUGUCCGGACCCCUUUUCAUUUCGACGGCUCUCCGGCAUCGUGUCCGAAUCCCCUAUAGUUUUGGCGGCUCUCCGGGAUCAUGUUCGGAUCCCCUAUAUUUUCAACAGCUCUUCGACAUCGUGUCUGAAUCCUUUUUUUUUUUGGCGACUCUCCGGCAUCGUGGUCGGAUCCCCUAUAGUUUCAAUGGCUCUCUGGCAUCGUUUCUGGAUCCCCUAUAGUAUCGACGAUUCUCCGGCAUCGUGUGUGGAUCCCCUAUAGUUUUUUAGGCUCUUCAAUAUCGUGUUUGGAUCCCCUAUCUUUUUGGCGGCUCUCCGGCAUCAUGUCCAGAUUCCCUAUCUUUUCGGCGGCUCUCCAGCACCGUGUCUAGAUCCAUUAUAGUUUUAGAGGCUCUCUGGCAUCGUGUUCGGAUCCUCUACAGUUUCAAAGGCUCUUCGACAUCGUGUCUGAAUCCCCUAUCUUUUCAGCGACUCUCCGGCAUCGUGUUUGGAUCCCCUAUCUUUUCGGUGACUCUCCAGCACCAUGUCCAAAUCCUUUUAUCUUUUCGAUUGCUCUUCGACAUCGCGUCCGGAUCCUUUUUUUUUCGGCGGUUCUCCGACAUCGUGUCCAGAUCCCUUAUAGUUUCGACGGCUCUCCAACAUCGUGUUCGGAUCCCCUAUCGUUUUGGUGGAUGUUCGACAUCGUGCCUAAGUUCCUUUUCGUUUCGGCGGCUCUCCGGCAUCGUGUUUGGAUCUCUUUAUCUUUUCAGCGGCUCUUCGACAUCGCGUUUGGAUCCCCUAUAGUUUUCGACGGCUCUCCAGCAUUGUGCCCAAAUCCCCUAUCUUUUCGAUGACUCUCCGACAUCAUGCCCAGAUCCCUUUAUCUUUUCAGUGGCUCUCCAGCAUCAUGUCCGGAUCCCUUUAUCUUUUCAACGACUCUCCGGCAUCGUGUCCGGAUCCUUUUUCUUUUCAACGGCUCUCCGGCAUCGUGUCCAGAUCCCCUAUCUUUUUAACAGCUCUGCAGCAUCGUGCUUGGAUCCCUUUGUCUUUUCAACGGCUCUCCGUCAUCGUGUCAGGAUCCUUUUUCUUUUCGAUGGCUCUCCGACAUUGUGCUCGAAUCCUCUUUCUUUUCAACGGCUCUCUAACAUCGUGUCUGAAUCUCUUUAUCUUUUCGACGGCUCUCUGACAUCGUUCCAGGAUCCCUUUAUCUUUUCAGCGGCUCUCCAGCAUCGUGUCCAGAUCCUUUUAUCUUUUCACUGGCUCUUUAGCAUUGUGUUCGGAUCCUUUUUCUUUUCAGCGACUCUUCAACAUCGUGUCCGGAUCCCUUUUUGUUUCGACGGAUCUCCGGCAUCGUGUCCGAAUCCCUUAUCAUUUUAGUGGCUUUCUGACAUCGUGCUCGGAUCCCUUGUCUUUUUAAUGGUUCUCUGGCAUCACGUCCGGAUCCCUUAGUCCUUAGUCAUUGGGACCUAGCUCUUUUGGACUUCGGUAUUGUUGUGUGAUGACAAAAUUGUUGGCCUUUGAUUUCUUCACUAGAGUUUAUUUCUACUCAUUCAUCACUAGCGCUUCGUGCUCAUGAACCAUUUGUUCAUUCACUCUACUAAAGAAGGGCAUAUUUGUAGACCCUCAACUUUGUCCUUUGUCACUUGCAUGUAUCUUGGGGGUGUCGCCUGCACCCAAUUUAUGUAUAUCACGACCAUGGAGCCCUUGUUGGGCAUAAUCAAUUUUCGAACCUCACAUGAGUUCAUUUAUGGUUCGAUUUAGUGAGUGUUUAGUCCAUUAUGAAAUGCCGUCGUGGCUAAUUCCUUGGUUCAUAUCAUGCUACAGGUCAGGAGUUAGGGUCUCCAUAAAGAUUUCAGUUCAGUUAAAGCUCUUGAAGCUCAUCUAAGUCGGGAGCACUUUGUUCUGGUUAUUAAUUUCAUGUGCGUGCUAAAUAUCAACUAAGAUUGCAUGAGUUCUAUCUUCUAUGUAACCUGGGGUAAUUGACUUAUCUUCGACCCAUAUGCUCCGAUGUACCCAAUUCACCAAUAGAGACCGGAUCUCGGGCCUAGAGGGGUGCUACCUCGCAUCAGGUACCUUCCUAAUAGAUAACCUGAUCCCCGGACCCAGAAAUCUAGUUUCGCGGACCGCUUUUUCCUAAUUGGAGUCAUUAAGGGGUUUUUGUUCUUACUUAAUUUUCCUCAUUUCAAAAAUAAAAAUAAAAAGUAAGUGGCAACUCCAAACAAAAAACCGUUCUUCAUCGGGGACAUAUUUUUCAAAACUCAAAGACCACACUUUUUCUCCACACUCACAUUACUGUUUUAAUUUGCUAGUAGCGCCAGAUUUAUUUUUUUAGUAUCAAUUUCCAAAAAUUUUCAAAAGUUUUGAAAAGUCUGGAUUUAGUUUUUUAGCAUCAAUUUCCAAAAGUUUUGAAAAGUCCAGAUUUAUUUUUUUUAGUGUCAAUAUUCAAAAGUUUCAAAAAUUUCGGAUUUAAUUUUUUAGUGUCAUUUCCAAAAAUUUCUAAAGUUUUGAAAAGUCUAGAUUUAUUUUUUUAGCAUCUAUUUCCAAAAAUUUCCAAAAUUCUCAAAGUCCAAAUUUAGUUUUUUUUUUGCAUCAAUUUUCAAAAAUUUCCAAAGUUGCAAAAGUCCGGAUUCAAUUUUUUAGUGUCAUUUUCAAAAAUUUCCAAAGUUUCCAAAAUUCCGGUUAUUAGAGGUAGAAGCUCAAACGGGAAAGAGGUUAGUUCUCAGCUGAAAACUAAUGGAAUGGGAGUAACUAAAUUUUAGCCACGUAGUCCUGAGUCAUGGCUGCGCUUGGUGGCCAUUGAAUAAAACCUAAAGAUUACAUAUAUAUGGUUUGGUCAUGGCUGAAACUUUUAAUAAAUUUGAAAUUUGAAUAUAUUGUGUGCUUGUGCUUAUUGACUAACCCUUUCUUGCAACGCAUGGCUGGGGACCUUAGGUACACAACUUUGUUCUCGUUAUUAAUUUCCUAUGCGUGCUAAAUAUCAACUAAGAUUGCAUGAGUCCUGUCAUCUAUGUAAUUGGGGGAAAUUGACUGAUCUUUGACCCAUAUGCUUCAAUGUACCCAAUUCACUAGUAGAGACCGGAUCCCGAACCUAGAAGGGUGUUACCUCGCAUGAGGUACCUUCCUAAUAGGUAACCUGAUCCCUGGACCCAAAAAUCUAGUUUCGCAGACCGCUUUUUCUUAACUAAAGUCAUUAAGGGGUUUUUGUUCUUAUUUAAUUUUCCUCAUUUCAAAAAUAAGAAUAAAAAGUAAAUGGCGACUCCAAACAAAACCGUUCCUCAUCGGGGAAGGAUUUUUCAAAACUCGAAAACUUUUUUUUUUCUUUACACAUACGAUUAUUGUUUUAAUUUGCGAGUCGCACCGGUUGGUGGAUCGAGGAAGGGUCCACAACUUUUUUAAAUGGUUUGAUAAAUGAAGAAGUAUAUGUUAAACAACCACCUAAUUUUCAAAGUUUUAAAUUUCCUAACCAUAUUUUUAAACUUAAAAAUGCACUUUAUGGUCUAAACAAGCACUUAGAGCUUGGUAUGAAAUAUUGAAUAAAUUUCUUUUAAAAAAGGGUUUUAAAAUGGAAAAAAUUGGCAUAACUCUUUUCAUAAAAACCAAAGAAAAUGAUAUGCUCUUAGUUCAAAUAUAUGUUGAUGAUAUCAUUUUUUGUGUUACUAAUGUCUCUCUUUGUGAAGAAUUUUCUAAGUGCAUGCAUAGUGAGUUCGAAAUGAGCAUGAUGGGAGAACUCAACUUCUUCCUUGGAUUUCAAUCAAGUAACUAAAGGAAGGAACCUUCAUCAAUCAAGCAAAGUACAUAAGAGAUUUUCUCAAAAGGUUCAACAUGGAAGAAACCAAAACAAUGAAGACUCCAAUGAGCUCAUCCAUCAAGAUAAGGAUGGGAAAAGUAAAUCCAUUGAGUCUACUAUGUAUAGAGGCAUGAUAGGUUCUUUGCUAUAUUUGACCAUUAGUAGACCCGACAUUAUGUAUAGUGUAUACUUGUGUGCUAGAUUUCAAUCUUGUCCUAAAAAAUCUCACUUAAGUGUCGUAAAAAGAAUUCUUAAAUAUUUGAAAGGGACAAUGAACAUAGGCUUAUGGUAUCUUAAGAGUGAUAACUUUGAAUUAAUUGGAUUUUCGGAUGUCGAUUUUCCCGGUUGUAAGGUUGAAAGAAAAAACACUAGUGACACUUGUCACUUCUUAGGACACUCACUUGUUUCAAGGCAUAGUAAGAAGCAAAAUUCGGUAGCUUUGUCAACAGUGGAAGCCGAAUACAUAGCAGCCGGUUUAUGUUGUGCACAAAUCCUUUGGAUGAAACAAACAGUUAGUGAUUUUAAUUUAUCUUUUGAGCAUGUUCCUAUUAAAUGUGAUAAUACUAGUGUCAUAAGUAUAUCAAAAAAUCCCGUGCAACACUCUAAGACUAAGCAUAUAGAAAUUAGACAUCAUUUUCUUAGAGAUCAUGCACAAAAGGGUGACAUAACACUUGAGUUUGUAAGCACAAAAGAUCAACUUGUCGAUAUCUUUACAAAACCUCUAAGUGAAGAACAAUUUGUUAACAUUAGAAGACAACUAGGGGUAAUUUCUUUAUAAUCUAAUAAUUGCUUAAUAAUUUCUUAAUGAAUACACCUUCUGAUUGCAUGAAUUUCAUGUCAUAUGCAUCAUAUAGACAUAUACUUUGAAAAUGGUCAAAUUUUGGACCAAAAAUCAAAAUUCUUUUGGCAUUGAGCAUCAAAAAUUGGGAAUUUCAACUAAAAAGGGCAAGGGGGAGACCACAGAACGAGAAAAUGCACAAAAAUUGAAAAGUCAAAGCGUUGACCUCGUUGACCAAGCGGUUGAUCAGGACCAGGACUGAUCGAUCGGUUGAUCGGGGUUAGGGCUUUUAAGUGACUCUCGCGCUUCAUUUUCUCGCCUGUUUCCUCUAGUUCUUCAAGAGCUCUGCCGAUUCAAUUGUCAAAGAGUGAUUUUUGAGGUCAUAGCAGCAAACUGAAGGCUUUGGAUUGGAUUUUUGGGAAGAUCGAAGGCUAGGGUUUUGGUUUUUGAUUGCAUUCUCUUCCUCUUGCGUGUCACAGUCAGCUUCCUCUCCAUUUCCAGGUGCUUAGGGUUUCAGUUGUGAAUGUUUCUCUCUCUACCAGCCCAUUUUCCAUUGUUUCAUUCUUUCUUAUGGCUCCUAGAUGAGAGUUGGCUGCCUCUAGGGCAUAAGACAAGCACCUAGCUAAGCUGUCUCAACCAUCUUAGCCAAAGGCUCACUGAAAGGCAAGGUUUGACACCGCUUUGUUCAGUUCCAUGGAGGACUACUAGCGGCACAAGCAACACUUUGCUCAAAGAAAAGUAGUUUCGGGAAGAAAUAUUAUUUUUUCCCAACUUCAGUAUUUUGGAUUCAAGGGAAUUUUCACUAGGAUGGGUUGGUUGCCCGUGGUGAAUUUUUCAGGUUCGAUUUUCCCGACUUUGGUGCGAGCGUUUUACUCGAGGAAAACUUAUGGAUUGGGUAGCCCAAUUAUUUCUACUGUUAGAGGAGUCGAGAUCCGUCUGGACCCAGAGAGCAUCUGCUGCAUUUUUUAUAUUGCUCCGAUUGGACUCAGAGUGUACAAGUCCAAGAUUUGGCCUACUGUUCCGAGAUUUGAGCCUAGAGAGGCUAUUCAAAGGAUUUACGAACUUGUAGACACCUAAGGGAUGGAAAAACACUAGACCCACAACUUGACCAUCAUUUGAAGAGUACUACACCACAUGAUAUGCUCUAUCCUUCUACCAUGGGGCGAACACCAAGACGAGGUCUCUUAUUAUGAGGCAUUCUUCAUUGACUCGUUUCUUACUAGAAGACGGAUCCACUUGGUGUACUUAAUGAUGAUGCACAUGAUCUCAUGUUACGACAGCACGACCCUCGUACUCCCCUAUGGUCGCUUUCUCACCAGAGUGUUGAAGGAUAUUGGCAUUGACUUGAGCAGAGAGAUAGACUUUGAGGCCCCUUGUGCUUAUGACACGUAUGAUGAUCGAUCGAUGGGGCCAGUGAAAUUUGAGAAGGCUCUUGAUGGUUCUUGGGUAAGGAAAAUAGAGAUAGCACUUGCAAAGGCUUAGAGAUAGGGGCAAGUGCAUCUCGAAGUUGGGGAAGAGGCCAAGAUACGAGAGAUGGAGAGUGAAAUAAACCCUCGGAGUAGCUUUCAGUAGAGAGAGCCCGAGCUUGACAUUCAUCCACUCCAGUCAGAGGGUGUUCAAUUUGAGGCUACCUUUUAUGAGCCGAUGAUGUCUAAGCCGACUUAUAUAGUGGGUCCAUCUACUUAACCGACAUUCACUAAGCCUCAUCACAUUGAGAUACCACCUCAUCAGGCACUUCUCGCUCCUAACCAUGCUCCUUGGAUAGAUCUAUCUACUCAAAUUAGCUCUCUAGGCACUCGCAUGGAGGAGCUUGUUGUAGUCAGUGAUACUUGGUUCUACUCCAUGAAGGAUCGCAUGGAUCAGUAUCAGUCUGGCUUCACUUCUCGAUUUGAGUGUAUUGAGGAUCGUAUAGAUCAUUAUCAGGCUGUCUUCACCUCACAAUUUGAGCAUCUCUAGUAGAGGAUUAAGCACAUUGAGGAUCGUCUGGAGAGUCAACAUGAGGAGAUGAUGGCUUACAUGCGCUCUGUGUUUGCAUUUCCACCUCCUUAGCCUUGAUUUCGUAGAGACCCCAUUUAUUCUAUUUUUUAUGUUGCCAAAAAGGGGAGAUAUUUUAGGAUCUAGGAGACUUACAUCCAUAUCAUCACCAUUGCACUUACAUUAUCAUAUCAUCACUUGGAUUGUAAAUGUUGGAUUGUGAUACAUUUGACUUAUAUAUGAUAUGCUUAUAUGUUUCAUGACUUAAACUGUUUCUCUCUAGCAUGUCUUGAUUAUCUUGGUUUAACUUCGUAAAUUUUGAUUGUUGACCCAUGAUUGGUUUGAGGGGGAGAUUCUUCUUCUCCUAGAUAACCAAGGUUUGUCAUCAUAAAAAAUGGGGAGAUUGUUAGCCCAAGGGUUCUCCUAAUCAGGUUUUGAUCAUAACAAACCAUGGUUAAGUUACUAAUUGAUUUGAAUUAUAAAGAAUUUCAAGUAUUAAUUUGAAAAUUCAUCAAAUGACUUAAUGGAUGCAAGAUCAAGACUUUUGGAAGACCUUUAAUCAUAGGAAACAAAUUUAAGAUGAAUGCAUGGGUGCACUUAGGUUUUACAUAUCAUUUCAUGCAUAUUUCAAAAACUUGGUUUAUUCUUUAAAGUUACAUUUCCAUCAAAACCCAAGUUUUAUCAAAUGUGCCUUAGGCAAAACAUUUCAAAAUUGACAUAUUAAUUUACCUAAAGACCUUGCCUAAGUGUCUGAAGAGAAAAAAAACAGAGAAAGAUAGGUUUUUGGGCAAAAAAUGGUAAACCGAUCGAGGCACUGGCCAACCGGCUCAAUCGGCCAGGGUACCGAUCAACCAGUUCCCUAUUCCCAGUCGAGGUCCAAUCGAGGAAUGCAAAAAACACUUUCUUUAUUCCAGUAGAAUUUUAUUUCUGGUUUAGGUAUUUGCCUUCCCGGUUGACCUCUGGUCGAGGUUCGAUUGAAGCAACGAUAACCUGCCAAAGCAUUAAAUACUCCAACGGCUAAUGAACCAAUUGACCCCCAACUCGACCAGUUGAGGCUACUUUUUGGUUUUCUUGGCUCUCGAGGUUAGAGCUAUAAAUAAAGAGUUUCACUUCAUUUAUGAGCAAGAGAACACCUGGAUUUAUUUGUCUACCCACUUGUUCUUGCCUUAAAAGCUCUCAUUUCUUUCUUGGUGCAUUAAAUCUUCACUUGCAUAUCGUUUAGUGCCCUUUUGUGAUUCAUCCUAGCCUUGAGUUGUAUUUGAACUAUUGUUGAGCUAGGUUAAGAGAUUCAUAUUUGUAAAUUGAGUGUUAAAGUCUUUAAGUGAGUUGAAACUUGAAGAGAUUGUGUAAGAACUCAUUGGAGUCGGAAUCCAAGUGUAAAGGUGAUUAAAAGUUUGGUUGAAGCUUCAAGUUAGUAGAACUCUCACUCAGUUAGGAGCCUGAGGAGAGUGGACGUAGGUAAGGAAGUGUCGAAUCACUAUAAAACCUGAAUUUGAUUUCUCUUACCUUAUCUCUUUUUAUUUGCUUAUUUUGUGCUAAAAUUUGUUAUGUGUUUAAAAAGAUUUUUUUUAAUUCCAAUUCACCCCCCCCCCCCCCCCNNNNNNNNNNNNNNNNNNNNNNNNNNNNNNNNNNNNNNNNNNNNNNNNNNNNNNNNNNNNNNNNNNNNNNNNNNNNNNNNNNNNNNNNNNNNNNNNNNNNCCCCCCCCCCCCCCCCCCCCCCCCCCCCUCUUGGGUGUUUUCUCUUUUAAAGAUUAGCCUUUAUUUUCUCAAGAGUAUUUCUUAUUACAUGCUUAAACUACCAAUAACCUAAUUCAUAGGAAAAAUAUGAUUACUUUGAGAUUUCACCCAUAGGUCAAAACCACUAAUAACCUAAACUCUAGUACAAUAAUCUCUCAAGAUUAUAACCCAGCAACAUAGUAUAUUGGAGAAGUCAAGUCAAUAGUCAUUUAAUCACAACUCUUUAUGGAUUAUGUUCAAUGUUUAAUAAUACACACUAAUACAUUCACUAUGCGAAAAUCAUCAACAAUGAACAAGACUAGUCACUCCACUAUUUAUAGGUAGUAUACCGUUAACAUUUUUUGAAUUACAAGAAAAUUUGAUACAUUUUUUUCCUUUUUAAAUACUUAUGAAUUAUAUAUAUAUAUAUAUGUAUGUAUGUAUAUAAUUAUGAGAUGUGAUCGUUAUACAUCUAUAAGAUUAUAUAUAUGUGGGACUCAUAGGGAGUUAAUUUCUGUCCAUUUAUGUUUUAAUUUUUCUCUAUUUAUGUUUAACAUUUCAUUUGGAUGUCACAAGAACAAUACAAAAGGAAAAAAAAAAAAGGAAAAAGACUAAAAUGAAAAAGAUAAAGGAAGGAUUCUUCAAUUUUUAUUUAAUUUUGAGAGAAUGAAUUAAUUUUUAUUUUUAUUUUUUAAAUGAUUGAGCUCACUGGUAGUAGCUAAAGUUGCUAGUCCAUUUUUCACUUCUGCAGCUUUGCUUAAGAAGUGUGUAGAUCAGCUUUUUUUUUUUUCUCUCUUUCUCCCUUUUUCUUUUUUAUUUUCUAGGCUAGAAGGAGUAUUUGCUGAUAUGGUGGGAACAUUUGGAUACAAUACUUUUGCAAUAAUUGAUAGGUUGGAUGUAAGAAAACAAAAAGAAAUAGCUACACUAGCUCAUGACAAAACUUAAAAGAACUGUAAAAUUUCAUUUAAAUGUUAGACAAUAACAAGAAAUAAUCCUUAAUUUGUUUUAUUCAUUUUUUGGAGGAUGAUUUAAAUUAAAGAAAAUAAAAUUGAUGAGCUCCCUAGCUAGUUGCAAGUGAAGUUGCCAGCUUGUUUAUACUUCUCUUUUCUUUUGAAAUGAAUGGGUAAUAACUUGAAUUUUUGUGUAUUCCUUGAGUGAGAUUAGCCCCCAUUUGUACUCACCAAGGGGAGAAUGGAGUACUUGUAGGUUUGGUGGGACAUUUGGAUUUGAAUUUGCAAUUAUUGGAUAUUUGGAUAUGUAAAUUAAUAAUUUCACUCCCAUAAAGACAAUUGGAUCUUACCAAUUGCAAAUAGAACAAUUAGCACAUCCUGAGAAAAGGUUAAAAAAGCAAAUAAUAAUAAUAAUAAUUACAAAGCAGGCUUAAAAGAAAAUUAUUUCUAGUGCUGGAAGAAAAGGCAUUCUUACCGCACCCCAAGAUCUGCUAUUUGCCCAACUGUAAAAUUGAAAACAUAAGGUCCCACUAUUGCCUAAUAGCUUUUCUAAGUUGUCUAAAUACAAAAUAAAAUGCAAGGAGAAAGAAGCAACAGAUGAUACAAGUAACGAUUGGAAGCCCAGAGGAAAGUGGUAACACAGCGUAUAUGCCCGUCAUGAAUGCAACCACCAUUGCUCCCAUACCAAACAUAGUGAGAAAAGCUUCUGUGGUUAAGUGUUCUCCGAUUAGUUCCUCGUUCCUAUGCGACAAUAUAGGAAAAUAAACAAACGCUGGAGAUACAGAGAGCGUCACGGCUAUAGUGUCCGCCACAACAAAUGCUUUGAAAGCUGCUUUCUUUGUUAAAAUUGUCAUCCCAUCAUUGUCAUUGUAACCACCAGGCAAGGUGAAACCCGCUGCAAAGGUUACAGUUGCUAUAAGUGCUGCCACUAUCAAAUGGUCUUUACCUACUCUCUUUAUGUUACAGAUGUGUGUCUCUAAGUCUAAGUAACCGAAAGCUUCUGCCUGCUAUGAUGUCUUCGCUUUCAUUAGUACCACCAUUGUCUUGUCGGGUUUUGCAACUAGUACUAGAAUUCUCCUCGUCUUUAUUGAUAGUCCCUUGCCAACUGAAGGGUCCGACAACAACUUUCUUCCAUUCCUCCAAUUGUUUUACCAGUUCCGCCUGAAAUUUUAUUUAUAAAAACACAAGAAAAUUGUUGUCACUAUUUUGGCCUUCGGCACUUCUUUUUAACUUUUCCCACCUUCUCUCACAACAAAGGAAAAUGGAUGAUUAAUAAUAGAUAAACUAAUAAAAAUAUUAAGUUAGGAGGCUAACCCCGAACUUUUGUCCCAACUUAAUGUUUUCCCUUGAAAGAAUGUCUAGGGUAGUUAACUUGUCGUCGUCGAGUGCCAUUUUAUCCACUGUAUUGUCCAUUGAGGAAACUGGAUUAUAACAUUGGCAAGAAGAAAUCAGGUGGAAGGCUGUGUCUCCCUUAGUAUCCUUCUCAUUUACAUGUCCUCCCACUCUUUAACUUAUUGUCAUUCGGGAACAAACCCACUCUUAACUUAUUGUCAUUCGAGAACGAACCAUCAAUAGCAAAAGGCCGUUUGCUCAUUGCGGCAAAGUGAAGAAAAUUAUUUCCCUGCUCACAACAAUCUGCAGAGUGUGAGAGUAGAAGCUUUACUGUCUCUAUAUGGUGGCGGUUAGCUGCAAAGUGAAGUGCUGUUUUCUUGCUAUCUUUGAUUGCGAGGUAAGUUACAGACUUAUCUGAUGAUUUGUCUAGUAAUUGCUCCACAAUUUUAGUACAACCCAAGUAUGCAGCACAGUGAGGGGAGACCACCCAUUUUCAUGCAUCCACUUAUUUUGUUAGAUCCGGCUUCCAUUGUAAUAACUUCGCUGCCAUUUCUUAUAAACAAAUGAACCAACAAAAAAAACAAAAAACAGCAGAGAAAAAAAAAUUAAGAAAUUCCCUCUAGUAAAGCAUGACCCCUACAGGUGAUCGUGAUCUCUAACAAUAUAUUGCAUGAGUAACUAACCAUGUAGGAAUCAAGAUUCAAGAAAAGGAUCUGCGUAUAUGUUACCUUGGUCCUCACGGAUUACAGAAGCAUGCAAAGCCGUUCUACCCAUUAUGCCACUGUGAGAUGGUGAAGCCCGAGUGUUGCCUAUAAUUAUACCAACCAAGUCUCCACAUCCUUUCUCGGUCGUCAUGUAAAGAGGAGUGUGGCUUGUAGUAUUAGCACCGUGGAUAAAUUCAGGGUCUUCCUCAAUCAAUGACUUCACAAUCUAUGAAUGAUGAUACCGCACCGCCUCAUGUAAGGCUGUGUGUUUCUCCUUAUUGGUCAUCCUCAGCAUGGCCUUGUCUGUUCCAACCCCACUUUCGAUCUCUAGGUGAAGUGCUUUUGCAGCAUCAAGGAGAGCUCUCACAACCGGCCCAUGCUCUUCUCUCGCAGCAAGGUGAAGUGGAGUGUCGUCUUUCAGAUUGGGCUUCUGCAGUAGAGGUGAACAUGAAUGAAAGUGAAGGAUCCACUCUACGCAUGCCAGCUAACUGAACUGGGCUGCAAUGUGGAGGACAGUGUUCCUUUUUGGGGUUCUUUGGAGUUGAAGAUGAUCUUCUGAGUACUUUUUCUCGAGGAUAUUGAUAUCACCUUCCUACAAAGCCUCGCACAAAUCAGCAUCCAUGUGGGUGAUCUCAGUUUGGCCAUAAGCUGCAAUCUAGUUCGACAUCUCAAUUCGGCUUGAAAAGGUUUCCAAGUUAAGGUUAUGCGAUUCGGAGCUGGACUGAUUCACCAUUGGCGUUGGAGGAACAAAGUAAUAAUCAACUCUUCAAAUUCUAUAUAGAGAGCAUAUGUGGAAGGGAAAGUUGUUUGUAUAUAUAUAUAUAUAAAAAGUGGGUAAUAUUUAUAUAAUUAGUAGUGAAUGUUUUUACUAAACCCAAAUUUAUUUGUAACUUUUUCUCCUCUUUCCUUUUUCGUUGCACUUUUGCAUUCUUGGUUGCGUGUCUGGAUGGAGCCUAGAGAUAAGGCUUAAUUUUACGUGUCUCACCUGAUUCUACUGCAUUAUAUACAAUAGAGAAUAAGCUCACUGUGGCAUAACUCUUUAGCUAGAGAGAGAUUUAAGCUUAUGCUUGGUACUAAAAUUAAGAUUUCAUUUUAGUAUUGGUAAAAAACCUAGAUCUUCGAGUCAAAAGUUUCACAUUGAUCGUUAGGUUUAUUAGUGGGUAAAAAACCACGAGUCAAAAGACAUUACGUGUUUUUAUUAGAAUUGUGUCAAGGUAUACACGAUUUUAUUCGAAUUGCAUUUUGGAUUGGUUCUUUAAUUGAGAUGGUACACUUGGAGUAUUUAUUAACUUAUUGUUAACAAAAAUUACUCCAUCGAUCCUAAUUUAGCGAUUAUUUAAGCUGCUUUUACCACCACCAACAAUUCUAGUGGUUUAAAGCAAUUUCAACCAUAUUAUCAGCCAUUUUAUCAUGUCAUCUUCCAAAAAUAACACAAAAUACUAGGGAUUGUAAUUUGUGCUUGUGGGUGGUGUUUGUGUUAUUUUAAAGCUUAUCCAGCAUGAAUAAUAAUCGUGUUAAAAAUAUAAAUCAAAAUACUAUCUAUUUAUUAAAUGGGUAGUGCAUCAUGUAACCCAUUUAAUUUAUUUAGUAAUUAGGUCUUUCUAUUUAAUAAUUAGGUUGAAUUAGGUAUUGCAUACACUUAUAUGAUUAAUUUCUCAGUCAAACAUAUUUAUAAUUUAAUACAUCUAUUUAUUUAAAAAUAAAUUAAUUUAAAAUAAGUCGAAGAUGAGUUAAAUAGUUUAAAGUUAUAAUUAAGUUAAUUAGUGAAAUUAUUAAAUCAAUCCAUUCUAAUCAAAUUUGUGUUAUGUAGGUUGAUAUAAAAUCUACAUAUUUAUUAAAUGUGUUAUACAGACUAACAUAAUUUUGAUCCAAAUUUAAUUAUAGUUGGUCCAAACUUGUAAAAAACAUGUUAAGUUUGAGUCAUGUUGACAUAUUGUAUCAAACUUUAUCAUCUCUACAAAAUACAAUAUUAAGGCCCAAACUAUUAAUAAUCACACAUGCUAAAGAGAGGAAAACCUAAAGGUUAACCAUUUUCAUGAUUGCAAGAUAUUUUUUCCUAGGGAAAAGUGUGCUUCCAUACUCAUAUUUAACAAUAUCACAUGAUGAAAAUCCUUAAAAGUAAUUCAAGUUUGAUGCACUCUAAAAUCAAGAUAACAUUUAGGGUAGUCAAAGAUAUUACUAAUAUUAUUAAAAAUAGUACCUAUUUGCUAAAAAGUAUGUAAAAUCUGAAUUAUUUUUAGAUAAAUAUAUUCAAUUUGAAAAUUUUAAAUUGAGAUUGUUAUAUGAUUUUUUCAAAUGUGUGUAUGAAAACACAAUUUAAUCUCCCUAAUUUUCUUUAUAAAGCAUGGUACCAAGGACAGUUGUUUGGCGUAGAAGUCCAUGUUUCUUUGUUCGUUGUCUAUUUUGUGAUUUUUUUUCUUUUUUCUUUUUCUUUUUGUGGGGACCGAGUGUAGUAUUUGUUUGGUAGAAUUUUCUCUUUUAAUUAUUCUUUUUCUUUCCUUUUGGUGGGGGAUGAAGCGUAAUUUUUGUCCAUGGCUUUCUUUUUCUUUUAUCAGGGACAAGUGGAAUAUUUGUUUGUUAGAAUUUUCUCUUUUAAUUAUUAUUUUUCUUUCUCUUUUGGUGGGGGAUGAAGGGUAAUAUUUGUCCAUUAUUGAUUUUUAUUUUUUUUAAGGGACAAGUCAAAUAUUUGUUUGUUAGAAUUUUCUCUUUUAAUUAUUAUUUUUCUCACUUUUGGUGUGGAUAAAGCAUAAUAUUUGUCCAUUACUGAAUUUUCUCUUCUUUUUUUUUUUUUUCCUUUUAUAGGGAUGAAGUGAAAUAUUUGUCUGUUAUUGAAUUUUCUCUUUUAAUUUUUCUUUUUCUUUCACCUCUUUCAAUUCUUCUUUUUCUUUCUCUUUCGUGGGGAUGAAGAGUAAUAUUUGUCCAUUAUUGAAUUUUCUUUUUUUUUUUGUGUGAACGAAAUGAAAUAUUUGUCGGUUAUUGAAUUUUCUCUUUUAAUUAUUGUUUUCUGUUUUCUUUUUGUGGGGCUGAAGCAGAAUAUUUAUAAUUUUGUGUUUCUCUUUCACUUCUUGUGGGGACAAAGUGAAAUACUUGUCCUUUAGUGUUGACAUUUGGAUAAAGAAACGGGUAGGAAAUAGUUACAUAACUUGGCAUCAAAAUGCUUUUAAGUUAACUUCAACUUAAAUAUAAAUAUUCCUUCCGACAUAAAGAAACUAAAGGAAAAAGAAUGGGAAGAAGUUCCAAAAAUUUUUAACCCAAUUAAGUAGAUUAUGAAAAUCAGUUAAUCUCUCAAUGGAGCCCCUAGUGUUUUCUUCUUUUCUUUUCAAGUGAUAUCAUCUCUAGCCAAUUCUUAAAUGUCAAAUUAGCUCUUCCAUUAGGAUUUUCCGUAGGAAUUGAUGAAAAAACUCAUCCUAAAAAUAGCAUUAGCAUAAAAUUUUAUAUCAUAGGUUGGAAUAUGUUCAAAUUUUUUAUGUGUUGAUGAUAUGUUUCCAUCCAUUUUUUACACAUAAAAAAACUUUUAAAAAAAAUUCAAUAUUUAAGGAUAGUGUAGGAUUAAUAUUAUAACAAAAAUAAAUAAAUAAUUGGGGACUUAUAAAUUGAGAUAUAAGUAAAAAUAUAAAUUUCACACAGAAGAGUAAAUCAAAUUAGAAAAAAGAAAUUAUUGAAUUUCAAUAACAUUUUUCUUUCUUUCCUUUUUGUUUCCCAUUGUUUUUAACGUGUUGAUGGAGCCAUAACAUGUGUGUUGGUCAUAUGUUCCCUUUUGUUUAAGCAUUGACCCAAAGCCUUGGUGGAUCUAUAUGGUUAUGUUUGGUUCUAAAAAUAAAAAUAAAAAAUAGAUUUAAGACUAAUAAAUUAUUUGUAUAUGUUUCUUCAAAAGUUAUUUCACUUAUUUUCCUUCAUUAUAUAAAUAUUAAAUAAUUUAAAAAUAUAUAAAUUUUUAAAAAAAUUUAAUUAUAUUUAUUAAAUUAUGAGUAUAUAUAUAUGCAUUUCAAAUAUAAAUUAAUCUAAAAAAUGUUAAUAAACAUAAUAGUUGAAAUAUCUUAAAACACUACUACCUCUAUCAAGAUAUAUGUGUUAAUAUCCUCCAAACUUUGUCAUUCAAGUUAAAACAAGAGUUGGAAGUAUAUCAUAAUAAAACAAUUGUUUUUCUAGAGAUGAAUAGUAUCUUUUAGCUUAGGUUCACAUUCUUAGUGGACCCAAUUAAUUAGUAAGUGAAAUUUCAAACAUAAAUCAAUCUCAAAUAUUAAUAUCGAUAAAGACUAUGGAAGAAAAUAUCGAGAUAUAUCAACGAUAUAUUACCAAUAUAUCGUGUAUCAGAGGUUAUGGAAAUGAUAUUUGGUGAAGAAAUAUCGUUCUAGCGAAAUUUCGGGAAAAAUCCUAAAAAAUCGACGAUAUUUUGCGAUAAAUCCCAAACAAAAGAUUUGAGGUUCAGCUCACCUUACCACUAGGACAAGUUUGUUCCUUGUUGAAUAUGAUGCACUAAAUGUAUAUUCAAAGUCAUCAUAUAAAAAAAAUAUUAAAAUAAUAUUUUAGAGAGUAAAUUCAUUAUAAUUAUUUUAUAAUUAAAUGCAAAAAAUUCUUUUAGUUGAUUACCAAAAAUAUAAAAAUUAUCAUGAUAAUUUUCUUCAUAGUGUUUUUAAUAUCAUUAAUAGAUUAAUUAAAUAUUAAAAAUUUGCACAUAUAUCAUAAUUUAUUUUAUAUCAUUUAAUACAAUUAAAUUAAAUGAAUCAUAAUUUUAAUAUUAAUAUAUAUUUUAAAAUUAGACAUAUUAUAAUCAAAUAUCAUAAUAGUAUUAUGAAAUAAUAUUUGAUGUAAUUUAAUAAUAAAUGUACACUUACAAAAUUCAUAUUUUUAUUGAUACAUACAAUAUUAUUAUCAAAUAUGAUAAAUCAUAUUAUACGGAUAUCAAAUUCUUUAAUAAAAUAAUUUUAAAAUAUAUAUUAUACUUCUAAUUAUUUUUUAUGAAAUUUUUCUUAUAUUUUUAUAAACUUUGAUCAAUUUUAAGCCUAUCAAUAUUUUUUUUCCAAAAUAUUUAUGAUAUAUUUGAUAUAUGCGUAAAAUCGAAAUACCGAUAUAUUCAUAAUUACUAAUAUUUUCAUCCUUAAUAAAAACUAGAUAUAUACCAUAUCAAAAUGAUAAAAGUAUCUUAAAACCCUCCCACCUUUAUCAAAGAUGUAAGUAUUAAUAUCCUCCAAGUUUUGUCAAAUUAAAACAGGAGGUAGAAAUAUAUUAUAACAAAAUAAUUAAAACAGGGUACAUAUUUGUCAUUCCACUUAGGUUCACAUUCAAAUAUAUAUAUAUAUAUAUAACACACAAUUCACUCAAAUCUUAAUAGUUUUUAUCAAAUCCACAUCAUCGUUUCUUGUGCAAAUAUGGGAAAAACCAUCAAACCCAAUAAAAACUCAUUAAAAAAAAUCUAAUUAUAAUAUAAUUACAAAAAAAAAUCUUAUUUCUAAAAACAAAAAUGAAACAAGAUUUGGUGAAAGUGGUAGAUGUAUCUAUGUUCAAACACUACUAAUUAUAUUCUAAGAGUUAAAAGGAGUAGAUAGAGGUACAAAUGUGCAAUAUAAUUGUUUUGGUAGAAGUGUUUGUGGCUCCUUCAAAUCUUUAAGUCCGUAUUUUCAAAGUUGUUUGUCCAAAUAGGAUUUUCUUUUUCUUUAGCUUGUAAAGAUUAGAGAAAUAAAGAUUUAUUUUUAAAAAAAAUUAAUUUAUAUAAAUUGAAUUUAAAAUAAAAAGUUAUACUCACAAGUAAAUGUAAAAGUUGAAAAAUUAUCCAAAAAAAAUUGUUUUUUCUUUUUGUUAUACUAUCAAAAAAAUUUCUUCUUAUUUUUAUAAAUAAAAAAUAAACCUAGGAUUAGAAAAUAUUUUUUUCUAAAAAUUUUAGAAAAUGUAUUUCCUAAUUGGGCUGUUGCAAUAGUGAUGAAGGAGAACGCGGUUGAAGGAUCCCGUUGACGCAGUCCGUUUGACCAAAUUGGGCCACAACAUGGAUUACUUAGUUCUUUUUUGGGGUUAGUUGCACUUGAAUAUCAUACUGCUCAAGUACAUGCAUGUCACCGUCUUCUGUAGGAUCCAUGAAUGUGAUGUGGGUCAAGCUACCAUCUUCAGCUGCAGCCUGGUUGGUGAUCUGGAUUUCCCUAGCAUCUUCAGCUCCAACCUUAUUGGACUCUGUACCCAAGUUAAGGCUGGAAGUAGUGGAAUCGGCCAUUGUUGUUUGAUGAGUAGUCUCUGUUCUAUUUUGCGCCAAGGAUGGGAAACAAGUUGACCACUUGUUUCAUGGAAUGGGUGGCUCUUAGCUCAACCUUGGGAGACGCUGAUACUUCUUAUAGCCUGCUGGCCAAAACGUUAGGCUGAUGACAAUUUCCCAUCUCAUUGGAUGGAUCCAUAUGCAUAAACAGUGCAAAGAAAUAUUUGGUCACGUAUUCAAUUCUUAACAAUCCCUUGUAUGAUCAAAUAAGUUCAUUGAAUUUUACCCAAAAAAAUAUAAGCAUUAUUCUAAUUAUGUCUUUUAUUUUUAUAAAUAUUAAAUAUAUUUGGUAGCUUCAUUGUUCUUAAAAAUUAUAAAUACAAAAUUAUUUUUGCUAAUUGUAUUAAAAAUAAUAAAUACAAUAUUAAUUUUUAUAAUUAUUAUAUGUUAUAUUUUUUAUGAUUUUUCAGUGGAUUUUAGUGACUUCAAUGUCGACAAGCAACACAUACAUGUUGUUUGUUUAAUUGUAGAAAAACAAGAUAUGGUGAGUUUUGCUUGUUAAUUUUGUAAAUUGAAAUAUGAAAACCGUUGGUUUCUUUCCAUUUAUGUUUUAAUUUUUCUUUAUUCAUGUUUAUGUUCUUAUUCCUCAUUUUUUUUUUCAAUUUUUAAUUUAAAUAUGGGUAUGGAAUCAUAAAUGUCCAUCUCUUAAAGUAAUCCACAUUAAAAUGUACAUCAAAUAAAUUUAAGCGAUGAUUAAGAAUAGGGACAUGAAACUUGGGAAAGGGCUAGAAUGUAAGUUGUUUUUUGAAAAAUAAUUUUUUAAAAUAGUUUUUAAAAGUUGUUGUCGAUGCCUAAGAUAAAAAUUUGUUUGAAAACUUGAAAUACUUUUAAUAUAUUUUUAAUGUUUUUAAAUGUAUUUUUAAAAUAAUUUUUUAUAUUUAAUAUUUUAUUUUUAAUUAUUUUAAUUAUUUAUAUAAUUAUUUUUUAAAACAUUUAUUAGAAAAUAAGUGAAAACUGUUAUUUAAAAACACCGUUGUAGACCCUCGUUUUGGUCAAAGUCUCUCUGGGGAGUAUAUUUUUACCACCCUGGGAAGAGCUGGCAGCUAGGUUUUUUGGUUUUCGGAUGAGCCAAGUCUGGGACGCAUGGCCAAAGACAGCACCACCUUGCCAUGGUGGUGGUUGAGAGAGGGACGUCUGAGAACAGAGCAUGGUGGGAAUAGAGUGUUUCAGAGAAUGAUGGCAGGAGCAGUGGAACGGGUGGGAGGACGUUGACAAGAAAGCCGAGAAGAGAGGGAAAACGGAAGGGGGACUGAGACUUUUGGGGAGGAAAGGGAGAGCUGGGAUUGAGAGAGGAAGGGAUUUUUUUAAAGAGGACAAUUUUUUUUUUUAGAGAAAAACAGGGGAGCUUUCCGACAACCCCUCCAACAGCAACUCCACCACCGGCCACUUCGCCACCUGCUACCCCUCCACCGGCUCAUCUCGCCUCUCCACCAGCAGCGGUUCCAGCGCUAGCUCCAAGGACGAAGGUGAAAUCUCCGGUCGUGGCUCCAUCGCCACUUACAAUAUUUUAAGAAUAAUUUUUUUAAAUUACCGUACUAUUGAGAAAAGUCCGAGUCGACCACCACUGGUAAUUUGAUAUACAAGCUCGGAGGUAUUGACAAGUGUAUUAUUGAGUAGUUUGAAAAAGAAGCCGCUGAAAUGAAUAAAUGACCAUUCAAGUAUGCUUGGGUCUUAGACAUACUCUAUUACCAUUGAUAUCGCUUUAUGGAAGUUUGGGACCAUUACGGCAUUACCAUUGAUAUUGCUUUAUGGAAGUUCGGGACCAUCAAAUAUUAAUGCUCAUGGUCAUUCGAAUUUCAUCAAGAACAUGGUUACUACUUACUAGCACCUCACAAGUCACAAGCAGACUGUCUUGUUUUCAUUAUUAAUUCCACCACUGGUUGAGCAUGUAUUGCUUGUUUACACCAAGCCCUUGGUGUAAGCACAUGAUUUGCUGUUGUAACGAGAUGGAUGCCACACGUCCUCUUAAUCCUUCAUCGUGACAAAUAUAUAUUUAAAAAAAAAAAAUCAAAUUUUAAGUAAUUUUUCAAAAUUUCCCUUUUUAAAAUUUAAUUAAAAAAAAUCCAUUUUCAAAAUCCCUCUUUUCAAAUUUAAUUUACAAAACUUUUUUUUUAAAACAACUUUUCAAAAUCUCAAUUCUCAAACUUAAUUUUCGAAACUCUCGUCUUCAAAUAAUUUUUAAAAUUCCAAUUCUCAAAUUUAAUUUUCAAAACUUCCAUUUUCAAAUAAUUUUUCAAAAUUUCAAUUUUCAAAUUUAAUUUAAAAAAAAAAUCAUUCUCAAAUAAUUUCCCAAAAUUCCAAUUUUCAAAACUUUAAUCUUGAAAUAAUUUUCCAAAAUUUCAAUUUCCAAAUUUAAUUUUCAAAACUUCCAUUCUCAAAUAAUUCUUCAAAAUUCCAAUUUUUUAAAUUUAAUUUUCAAAACUUCCAUUUUCAAAUAAUUUUCUAAAAUUCCAAUUCUCAAUUUUAAUUUUCAAAACUUUAAUCUUCAAAUAAUUUUCAAAAAUUCCAAUUUUCAAACUUUAAUCUUCAAAUAAUUUUUCAAAAUUCCAAUUUUCAAAACUUCUAUUUUCAAAUAAUUCUUCAAGAUUUCAAUUUUUAAAUUUAAUUUUCAAAACUUCAAUUUUCAAAUGAUUUUCCAAAAUUCCAAUUUUCAUCUCAAAUUUAAUUUUCAAAACUCUCAUUUUCGAAUAAUUCUUUAAAAUUCCAAUUUUUAAAUUUAAUUUUCAAAACUUCAAUUUUCAAAUGAUUUUCCAAAAUUCCAAUUUUCAUCUCAAAUUUAAUUUUCAAAACUCUCAUUUUUGAAUAAUUCUUUAAAAUUCCAAUUUUUAAAUUUAAUUUUCAAAACUUCCAUUUUCAAAUAAAUUUUCAAAAUUCCAAAUUUCAAGUUUAAUUUUCAAAGCUCCCAUUUUCAAAAUUUUAAAUAUAAAAAUGAAUAAAUUUUCAUAAUUUCAUAGUAAUGGAAUUUAUGAGAAUUAACUCAUAACAAAAUCAAUAGGGCUUUGGGGGGCUCUACAUAUGAGUUUUCUCUUUCUAUUGUCAACUGUUAUACUUAAUGAAUAUUGUUUGAUCUUUGUCUUGCUCUUUGAUAUGCAUGUGAUGAUGUUAUACUUGACCUAACCUUGUUUCCAUGAUAGCGCAUUAUUACUUGCUAUUAAGGUAUGAUCUCACUCCUACUUUGUUUUAUCCUUAUACAUGAUUUGUUUUAUUAUUUGAUCAUUUUAUUGGUAUCUAUUGAUUUCCUUAUUGAUUUCCGUUUUUAACUUUUCUUUGUUCCGUUCCAUCUUAUCCACCGUUUCAUCCAAUAUGAAAUCUACAUCAUUAACUCCGAAAGAAGCAAGCAGGUGUAUGGGUGUGUCUCCUUGAGCAUCUUUCUCAUUUACAAGUCCUCUCACUCUUAAUCCAUCCUUUAUUAAUACCUCACUACCAAAAUGAGAAGGGUGCUUCUUCAUCAUGGCAAAGUGAAAAACAUUAUUGCCAUUCUCAUCAACCUGCUCACAACAAUCUGGAGCAUGUGACAGCAGCAACUUUACUAUGUCCAUACAGCCAUUGUAACUUGCAAUGUGAAGGGCUGUUCUGUUGCUAUUUUUUAUUCCAAGGUAGAUUACAGACUUGUCUUGUGAUGAUCCGUCUAGUAAUUGCUUGGUAAUUGCGGCAUCACGCAUGUAUGCAGCACAAUGAAGCGGAGACCAGCCAUUUUCAUCCACUUCUUUGAUUAGCAUUGGCUUCCANNNNNNNNNNNNNNNNNNNNNNNNNNNNNNNNNNNNNNNNNNNNNNNNNNNNNNNNNNNNNNNNNNNNNNNNNNNNNNNNNNNNNNNNNNNNNNNNNNNNAAGAAAAUUAAUUAUAAAAUGAACACUAACGCAUUACUAUAGGCCUUAUAUGCACUAUCUUGGUGACGGCAGAGUACAGUAGCAUGCAAAGCUGUUCUACCCUCGAUGCCUUUGUGAUCUGAUGAAGGACUGGUGUCUAUGAUUAUUUCCACCAAGUCCUCAUAUUCUCUCUCUACAGCCAUGUAAAGAGAAGUGUAGCCUGUACUGUUAGCACCAUAGAUGAAGUGAGGGUCUGCCUCAAUCAAUAACUUCACCACUUUUGAGUGAUGAUAUCGCACCGCCUCGUGCAAGGCUGUGUCUUUCUCCUUAUUGGUGAUCCUCAGCAUCGCCUUGUCUGUUCCAACGCCACUUUCGAUCUCUAAGUGAAGUGCUUUUGCAUCAAGGAGAGCUUCCACAACCGCCCUAUGGCCUUCUCUCGCAGCAAGGUGAAGUGGAGUGUCGCCUUUCAGAUUGGGCUGCUGCAGUAGAGGUGAACAUGAAUGAAAGUCAAGGAUCCACUCUACACAUGCCAGCUAACCGAACUGGGUUGCAAUGUGGAGGACAGUGUUCCUUUUUGGGGUUAGUUGGGGUUGAAGAUGAGCAAAUUCCGAGUACUUCCCCUUGAGGAAACUAAUAUUGUUGAGAUAUUAGGAAUGUUUUCCUUAUAUCAUUCUUUCCUUAUAUCAUUUAGUGUUGAGAUAUUAUGAAUGUUUAAAUAUUAGGAAAGUUGAGAUAUUAGGAAUAUUGAGAUAUUAUGAAUAUUGAGAUAUUAGGAAUAUUGAGAUAUUAGGAAAGUUGAUAUAUUAGGAUAUUAGUUGUUAUUUCCUUAUAUCAUUCUUUCCUUGUAUCAUUCUUUCUCAUUCUUAGAAUGGUGAUUACCCUCUAUAUAUACUCUGUACAUGAGCGAAUGAAAAAAUUAAUGAAAAACUAUCAUUUAUCAAUUUGAAGAUGGUAUCAGAGCCAUGAAAUUGAAAUCCUGGAUAUUUUGUCGCUAUGGUGGUCCGACAGCGAUCAACCAUCCUAAGACAAGCCCUAAUAUUGAUAAGUCAACCUUCAAAUGCACUCACUGCAAUAAGACUGAUUCCACCAGUCUGGAUAUCCCACAAUUUCAAAGCAACGACUCUUGGUAUGACUAGGAAAACAAUGAGGAACCGAGGGUUUGAACCCUGGACCUUUAGAUCAUGUUUAGGCUAUCACCACUUUGUUAUUAAUGAUAAUAAUCGUGAUCAAUGGAAGAAGGAUUCCAAGAAAACCUCGACUACAACUGUUGCCGAAAUAAAAACAAGGCUAAUGUUGCUGAGAAAGCCUCUGCAUUGGUAGCCGCUACAGAUCAUGGUGGUAAGUUUUUAAAUACUUUUACACCUGUUAUUAAUAGUGCAUGGAUAAUUGAUUCUGGUGCUACAGAUCAUAUGACUUUUGAUUCUAGACAGGUUUCACCUCUUAGACCUUCCUCACAAAAAAUUGUUUCCACAACCAAUGGUAACACAACCCCAGUCAUUGGGGAAGGAUCCUUAACUCUUAAUGAUACUUUGAAUUUGGAUUUUGUUUUAGUUGUUNNNNNNNNNNNNNNNNNNNNNNNNNNNNNNNNNNNNNNNNNNNNNNNNNNNNNNNNNNNNNNNNNNNNNNNNNNNNNNNNNNNNNNNNNNNNNNNNNNNNAUCCAAAUAAGACAGACG
rnacentral:lncRNA from 1 species